UUCUUUGCGGUGCUGGUGGGCCUGGUGAGGAUCAGCCACAGCUUUGGCUCCGGCAUCGCCCUGAGUCCGUCCAACCGGUCGUCCGCGGCCGACGGUGACUACAUCGAAGAUGUUGUCGAUUGGUUACGGGCUGCGCGGAAACCGGGUGUCCCGGCGGCCGGCGCUUGCGUAUCCCCUUGGCGGGGCCAUGGUCUCCGCUCGGACGUAGUAGGACGCCCUGUUCGGGGAUCAUAGAUCCUGCGACAACAACCUCUACGACAAUGAUGACGGCAUCACCACCGCCGGAUAACGAUCACUUGCCAGUGCGAGCGGUGUGACAGUGGCGAGGGCGGAUGCUCCUGGUGCAGCAGACAACAGGUUGCUCUGUGGGCCGACAAGGGGUUAGGUUGCAGCGUCGAGACGGAGGGGAGGCGGUGCAGCAGACAGCAGGAUGGUGUCGAAGGCGGCCACACUGCGCAGGAGCGGCUGGAGCCGGAGUAGUCCGUUGUUAGCCAGGAUCGGCUGUUGCUGAUGAUGCUGCGGGCAUGUGGAUGAGUACGUUGAUCUCAACGUGAAACGUCCAUCAGCAAGGCACGGCCUGGCGUUGCGCAUUGCACUGCUAUGUGAUGCUGUUGAACAUGAAGUGCACUCAAACCGCGAUGCAUGCCAUCGGUGUUGUAUCCCCUUGCAUGGUGCGACGAGGUUUCGCAUACGUUCAGGUUCGUGUGAUCAUCUCUCUCUCUCUCUCAUAUUUUUUGUGCAGCUCAACAACGAGGGAGAUUUGCAAGUGGUCAAAAUUCUGGUGCUAUCAUUGCUAUGUAAUAAGACAAGGUUUCUCUUGAUCCUCUUUCUUCUUGAUAAUCCAUAUAGGGAUUGCUUCUGUCGAUUAUUUUGAAGCCUUUUCUUGUGACUAAAGGUUCAGAGAUGGCCACUAACUGAUUGGUGUUAUUAAGCUUCAGGUUCAUUUUUGUGCUCUUAAGGUAUAGUAUCCCUUCCAUCAUUGCUGCAAACAUUUACUAUCUGUCCUUAGUGCGGGAAUUUGCAACCAUUAAACCCACGGUGGUUCCAGUGUGGGAUAUAUUCUUCAUGGUCCCGUGUCAUUUGCUGCAUCUGCUGUUAAUUUGAUGAUAUGGUUUUUGGGAUGACCAUGAUUUACUCCCUUCUAAUAUUUGUUCUAUGCAAGCAUCAAGACUAAAUAAUAUGGGUUUACCCCCUUAUCAUAUUUGUUGUAUGUAGGCAUCAAUACUAGACAUAUGGUUUUAACCCCUUCUCAUAUUUAAUUUUUUGAACGAUCCCUUCUCAUAUUUAUUGUAUGGAUGCAUCAAGCUAUGAUGAAUUUGGAUAACAUACUAUUAACUUACAUAAUAAGACCCUUACGGUGUGAAAAGCCGGAAGCAAUUGCAAGGCAUUAACAAUCUGUUUUUCUUACUGAAGCUGAACAACUGCCCCAUAUACAAGCUCUAUCAUGUUAACUACUGAUGUGAGCUUCCUCAGCUAUCAUUUCAUUACGAACACAAAACCAAUGGGCAGUCAAACAAGGAUGCCUUGAAUUACCAAGGAAUCAGAAAUUUAUCAUGCAAUAUCAAUAUGUAUUCUCUUUAUGUACAAUUAAUGUACUGACUCUUUUCAUUCAAUAAAAAUUUUCUUUAUGAAAGAUUAUAGCAUUUGUACCAAUAUAAUUUUUUACAUACACCAUAAUAUAAAAUUUGAAGUGAACACAUAAAAAGUGAAUAAAAUAAUAAAAUAUUUGGUAUAUGAAGUUUAAUAUUAUUGUACAUAGAGUUUCUCACAUAAAGUAUCAAUAGGCGCGGCGUGCCACCGCACAGGCAUGAAAAUUCAACAUGGCUCGCUAGCAAGUAAGUACCCAACAUAAUGAAUUUGCAAGACAAACAAUGAUCUUGGCGAUAAUAUGCAAUGAUUUCUUCGACGUGGCACUUCUUCGCAUGUACCCCAACGUCCUCAGAGAGAUGAUCCCAUCAUUACAUACAAAGGAGCUAAGAUACCCGUUAGACAGGUAGAGGAAUUUGCAAAAGCUCUUGACUACUUCAUUACAAACUAUCUUACAGGGGGCUGCACUAGGAUGAUUUAACUCAACUAGGUCAUCCGCAAUCAUUUACUUUCAUGCAGUUGUAUCAUUGUAUAUGGUAUGUUCCAUAGAACGGUCUCUAUAAUGUGCCAAUAAGUAGACCUUAUUAUUAGCGUGUACACUUUCGUUCAUCAGUAUUUAUCAUACAUGGCUGCAAUAAAUGUACUCAUUUUCCACCUUUUAGAACUCUUUCUGGGUUUUAGUUAUGCAAUUUUGUCAUUAAAAAUAUAACAAUGGCCUUUACGAUCCGUUAAAUAUAAUGCAUUAUCAGGCGCGGCGUGCCGCCGCGCGGGCUAUACUAGUUUGAUAUAGCUAGGCAACUAUUUGGCGAAGGCGUGAAGCCAGUAGCUAGCUACAGCUACAACAUGUUGGACUAAUCUGCGUCGUUUUGGACAAAGUAGUACUCUACGUACUUGUAGUACAUAUACAGACAGAAGGGCAUAUUUGUACGGAUGCGAAUUAUAUACGGACUGCCGUUUGGUUUUAGGACUAGCAUUGUCACAUUUUGUCUAUAUUUUUAUCAAGUUUGCUUAAAAUUAGUUCAUUAAAAUAAAAGCCACAUGUUGACAAGUCUAAAAGAAUCUUGCCACACCUUGUUAUGUGGAAUCCAAGUAUGACUUCCUUAAAAUGUGGCUUAAAUCAAACACUUAUUUAAAUUAGUUAAACUUGUCUAAUCUUAAUUGUGACAAUUUUUGACUAAGUUAGUCAGAAAUCAAACAGCCCAGAGUUAUGGGUAUCCAGGCGUCCACGCCGUCCGUUGCCGAAAGCUGGCGGUCCAUGAGGCCCAUGCGUCCGUGUGCUCGGUCCACGCGUCCAUGACCAGCACCGGUGGCCACCGAUGGAGGCAUCUUUGUGGCAACGUCUAGAAGGAACCCAUGCCAACGCGUGGACGUUCUUCUACUCGAGCCGCUCACCACGUGGGCCCCGGCCCCCACAUGCAAACAGUACCUGAAAAAAUGCAUGUAAGUUUUUUAAGAACGUCGCCCAUGCAGGUUUGGUUAGAUCCUUCAUGUAACUUUUCUUGCGUGGAAUUUUCCUUCUUUUGUAGUACUAGUAUGUUGUAUGGCAAAAUACUCCCCUUAUUAUUUUAGAGAGAGAAGCCUAUUUUCUAGCUGAGCUCGACAAAGCUCGCUUAGUUAGAUGAAUAUUGAUCUAUAUUCUUUAUGAUUUUGCUAAGAAGUUCGGGCGUAUUUGAACUAUACUGGUCUAAUUUGUUGUAUGAGUGGAUAAUGAUUUUCUGUACGACUUAGCAACUCUAUCGAGCCUAGCUGAAGCCUACACAAGUAUAUCAAUGUGAUUUGUGAAAAAAAAGGCGAAAGAAUAGUUCGUUUUGUGCCCGCUGCGCAGCUCAGUUGGCUAGGCGCGGGAGUUAGCAGCCAACCCAUCAGGGUUCAAGUCUGGGCUAGAGUGUUUGGUGUUUAUGGAGUUUUCUUCUAUAAAAAAAUGUCAACAGACUAUCUAGCCCGAGUUGGUCUCGUUUUUUAUUUUGAUUUGUCAAAAAAAAAAUUAGACACAGAGCUUGCAACAAGUGCAAGGAUAGUACCAGUGAUUUGUGAAAUUGCGCUUGGUUCCAAACCAAACAGGCACAUGAGUCCACUAGGUUUUAAAUGUGAGAGGACUAGUAGUAAAACAGGCACACGCCAUGAGGUUAGGCUACAAUUAUUGCAAAAUGGAGGGUCUGCGUCCUCCGGGCAAGCGGCCGCUAGGUGUUUAGGGUUUCCUGCCUCCUGCAUGCACCGCUAUCAAUCUACCUCGUCUCCUGUGGCCUUAGAGGCAUGAAAGAGCGAUGGAUCCUGGCUCUUCUCAUAGCACACAUCACGAGUGUCAUGAAACAACUAAUGUAAAUGGAUAAGUGAGGGCCCGCUAUGGCAGCAUAGAUGAACAACUCUAUAUUUCACAUCAAACACAUGCAUAAGUCGUACGUCCUGGACAACAGAUGCUUGAAUUCCUGUUCUAGAUGCAUCCCAAUCCUAGACCACCAGUAUGAACUUUCACCAUUGACGCAAUUCAAAUUUCUCUUACAAUUGUGUGCAUGGGUGUGUCUUAUCCCAAAAUGAAGUCACGUAAAGAUGGAAAUCAUGGUGAGACAAAUACUACCUCAUACAAUAGACUUUAUAGUCAAGUCUACUAUAGGUUUAUUUUAUAGCACUUACAUGUUGUCAUCAUAUAUCAAUUAUGCAGUGUAAUGGUGGGUGGACACUAAUAAUAAAUUUGCCGAAUUUAUGAAGAAACAAGCGACGGUGCAGCUGUAAUAUUGCUUGGUCAUGAAGUGGUAGGAAUUUUCAGAUUAGCAACAUUUGCACGUCUAUGCCUUUCCAUUUUAAUAAUACCACAUACGUAAUCAACCGCCUUGACUUAGUGACGGAGGAAAUUUUAUUGGUAUAUAUCUACAUUCAUUUAUACGUUCAAAUCUUUUGUUUUUUGAAACGGAAAUCUUAUUUUGUAGGUGAAGUAGUUAAUCAAGUAAUUAUUAUGAGGAAACAAGAGUUAUCGUAUAAUUGAUACUCCCUAUGUUAAAAAAACAACGUGUAUGGAUCUUUGUUGAAGUCAAAAUUAAUAAAGUUUGACCAAAUUUAUAGAGAAAAACAUGAAUAUCAAUAAUAUCAAGUAAAUACAAUAUAAAAUUAUACUACUUGAAUGUUAAUUUUUGCUGCUAGUGGUUGCAUCAUCAAAUUGGUCCUAUACAUUCAGUCGGUCUUCACUUGGGGCGUGAUCAGCAACACGUCAUCUCCUACUGUUUUACCUAUCUUUCUAUUCAACAAGUAAUCGAGCUGGGGUUGAUUCGGUCAUGGUCGAUGCUACACAAGCAAAGACACAUAAAACAAGUAAUCGAGUUGGGGUUGAUUCGGUCAUAGCCGAGAAGAUUUGUUUAGUUUUUUUCUUCAAUGAGAUGAAAAUGUUUGCUGUUUUGUUAGUUAGGCAGAAAAUAAUUGGUCGAUAAAUUGGAGUACAAAAGGGUGAAAGCUAGGGUCCCAAUACACACUAGGCUAGGCAGUAAUCAGCCCACUAACUAAUCAUCAGCUAAGACACGAUGAGUUGAAAGCAUGACGGGCGAGACAUCGACGGGUUAUUAAAUAAGUAAGUACUCCCUGCGUACUAUAAUAUAAGUGCUUUCUUACACCACGCUAGUGUAAAACGCUCUCAUAUCAUGGGUCGAAGGGAGUAGUUUUUUUAUAUCUUAUCAAUCCAUUGGUUACACGUGUAACAAAAUGAACUGACAUUGCUACAAAAAACAAGAUGCUUGCGGUCCUGUGAUCGCUCAAACCAAAUGACCUGGUGUUAUGAUUUGCUUCUAUAGAAGGUGCAUUAAACAUGAGAUGAAACCAACCAAGAGCUUGUCUUGGUGGCAUAUUUCAAAUAGAAGGUGCAUUAAGGAUGUGUCAUUUUCCAUGCAUGAUGAUAUGAGUUGGCAUUGGGUAUAUAGAGGAUUGGUCUUAUUAAAAACAAUUAGUUACUACCUCUGUCCCUUAAUAUAAGAUGUCUUUGCAAAUAGAAGUAUUUUUCGGAUCAUCCACUAGUACUUUUAGGUAGUGAAUAAUUAGGAAAGCAGCCCAUAUGAGAUCACAUCUAAACCUCAUCCAGACAUGCUAGUAUAUUCGUUUGAUAAGGAGACUGGAUUUUUUUGAAGUACCUUAGUAUCGUUGCGACAUUGUUUAAUUUGCUAUCGCUAGGCAAUCAUUUGGCAAAGGCGUCAAGUCACAAGCUAGCUACAACAUCUUGGACUGAAGAAAUGAACUCCUCCACUGCGUCACUGCCCCACUCCACUACACUAUUAUCAGAAAAAGAAAAGCAAACACAAUUAUUGAUGUGCAUUCUACAAGCCCAAACUCAUCUAGGACAUGGUCACGUGAAUGCCGAACGCAACUGUAGCUGGCGCAGCGACGCGAGCCAUACCAUCUCCUGGUUAGACAGACAAGGAGCCAAGUGAUCACCAGCGGCAACAUGAUCCACCUGUUCUGGUUACAAUAAGAAAACAAUCAAAUGUUAACUACAAAUGCAAUAAAUAAGUCUGGCUAGACAGCUAACUGGUAAACUCGACUGCCUACAACGAGAAAAUUGGGUCGAGUGAUAUAAAGGGACCGUACCUUAAUAACUCAUCCAUGUAUGCGCUACAGAGUCGCGCCGGCGGCCAUACCGACUGCUGUUGGUGCCCCUCUCGGACACGCUCCUCCGCAACAUGGUCUCAGCCCCAGCCUCUGUACAUACAUGCCUCCGGUCGCAUUGGAUGAGCAUGAACUGGGUAAGGACGCGCUUCAUGCUUGGCCAUAGACAUGCUUAAGGACUCGUGUAGGGAACACGAGUUUCAACACCAUAAAAAUAUCCUCUCAAUGGACCGAGUCACGGAUAUGUUUGAUGAUUUUGUCUUUCGUUAAAGAGGGAUCCUGUAAUACCUUCAAUGCUCAUUCAGCCAGGCUUUCUCCUCCUCCAACGCCCUCAGCAACCAUGUCGGUUGUUAGCUCUAGCAGAACCACACCAAAACUAUAGAUAUCGGCCCUCUAGAGCUUGCCCCUCCAUUGUACUAAUAGUAUUUUGCAAAAUUUGCAUUCAGUUAGAUCUCAACAGAAACGUUUGAGAUGCCUUGCUGGAUUUGAGAUUCUCAUCAGGGGCCAUGUACCCGUGUGUCCCAAAAAUGGCUGACCUGUGGUGGGACUGGCGUGGGUUGACAACCAUUCGGGCAAGCCUAAAGUCGGCGAUCUUGGCAUGGAACUCUGGGUCAAACAAAAUGUUGCCUGACUUGAUGUCCCGAUGGAAAAUAGCCUGUCUGCACUCUUUGUGGAUGUAGUUGAGGCCUCUGGAUGCAUCAAUAGCAAUGGUCAGCUUUGUCAGCCAGUCCAAUGGUGCAGGGGCGCCCUUGCGGUCAUGAUGGUGCAGCCAGUCGUCGAGGCUGCCCUUCUUCAUGUGUUCGUAAACAAGCAGCUUGGCAUCUUAGCUGGAGAUGCUGCAAAGCAACUUUAUCAUGUUCUUGUGAUUGAUGCUCCCCAAUGUCUUCACCUCCGAGUCAGACUGCUUGUGGUGUAGAUUUCUCAUGUUGCAUACCUUCUUAACAACCAUUAUUCUGCUGCUGCGAUCCUCAAUGAGACCGUGAAGGCUAGGGUGGUGGACACGGUGCACCUUCCCAGACCCUCCACUGCUGAUAAUGUUCUCCUCAAAUAUGUUGUUGAGCACGCCGGAUUCCGUGAAGUCCAAAGGUGUGAAUGGUGUCAUUUUCUAAUCAGUCACAACUUCUUUCAGCACUUGUGUGUUCUUCUGAUGCUGGAAGAGCAACCGUAUGAUGAUGCUCAUGCAAGUGAUGACAGUGACACCGAGCACUAACAAGAUUAUCAUAUGCUUCUAGAGGUGGGUGCCUCCAUGGCAUUUUGGGAGAUUUAUCCUCGAUCCCCACUUAGCACAAAGCCCACGGUUUCGAAGGAAGCCACAAUUGUACUUUGUAGAGAGAGGGGCAUCUUCCCAUUGAGUUGGUCAUAAAUGACAAACUGAGGGAUGCAAUUGAAUGGUUGCCAAAGUCAGGCGGAAUAUUGCAUGUUAUCUCGUUGUUGGACAAAUCAAGGAUUACCAGUGAUGAAAUAAUCUCACUGCUCUAUGCCGGUAUUGCACCUGAUAUACGAUUGUUGCUGAGGUCAAGUGAUUUGAGAUUCUGCAACAAUUCAAUUGAUGUUGGUAUGGAUCCAGAUAUCUUGUUCGCACUUAGUGACAAUUCAGAAAGCAUGUGGAGAUUGCUUCUGUUGACAGGUAGCUCUCCCGAGAGUUGGUUAUUCUACACCAUCAACACCAAUAGCCCAGUCUGAUAUGUCGGGAUCGAGUCGGACAAGUGGUUGUUCUGCAUCUCACUUCGAGAGAUAUUCGAAGAUAUAUCUUUUGGCACAGUGCUAGCGAAGUUUUGUCAGAUAUUAGCAAUGUAUGUACCAAUGGCAACCACCAUAUAUUCACCAGAAACUUCCCAGAGAAGUCGUUGUUGUCAAGCAUAAUGUUAUCCAGCAAUAGGCAGUUGCCAAUGCUUCAGGAGCUCACUGGAGAAGAUGUUGUUAGAAACUACAAUGUUGAAUAGUUUCUCAUGGGCGCAUAACCUGCUCCGGUAGUGAGCUAGAAAAGUUGUUGCGGUCCUCAAAAUUUCUGAGCGACGAGUGCUUCCCAAGUUGUUGUGGUACCUCACUCGAGAUCAUAUUGUCAAACAACUGGAUGUAUUGGAGUUUGGGAAUGAGGCCAAUGCUUCCGAGGAUGGGGCCUAGGAACUCGUUGUUGUAUAGGAUGAUAAUGGUUAGUCUAUUGAGAGUCCCAAAGUCUUAUGGUAUGCAACCAGUGAGUUUGUUUGCUCACAAGUCUAUUUUAAUCAAAUUCACCACAAUGAUGCUGCACGACAACUUCCUGUUGAGUCCACUAUCAUAAAAGUAUAAGAUCUCGAGCUUUUGGUGCUGCCAGAUCCAAACAAGGAUCGAACCACUGACUUGCUGCGCAACAUGUACAAAAUGGUUAGUUCCUUUAGGCUUGAGAAUGCCUCUGGAAUCUCGCCGGUUAAGCCAUUCGUGUCAAGAAGUAGGUUCUGAAGUGCCUAAUGCUUGGCCAUCGCCGUCGGCAAAACACCACAAAAGUUGUUGUUAGUCAGGUAGAGAUGCUUCAUAGAUGGUGAUAGCCGGCUGAUAUCUUGAGUAAGCACUCAAUGGAAGCCGUUGUAGUAGAUAUCAUGGUACCGUAGCUAGGAGUAGGCGUAGAACGUAAUGCCAGGGAAUCUCCCAGUGAGCCUGCUGUAUGAAACGUCGAGGUGGAUCAGGUACUUGAGGUUGCACAUAGAUGGAGGGAUGUUCCUGAUAAAAUUCUAAUGCUUGAAGGAAAGCCCCGUAACUAGGCCUCCACCUACUGCCACGCAGCUGACACCAGCCCAGUCAGCUGUGUGGAAAGCGGUGGAGGCCUAUUUAUGGGGCUUUCAUUCAAGCCUUUGAAUCUUACCGGCAACAUCCCUCCAUCUAUGUGCAACCUCAAGUACCCGAUCCACCUUGACUUUUCAUACAACAAGUUCACUGGGAGAUUCCCCGGCAUCACGCUCUACACCCGGUCCUGGCUUCGAUACCUUGAUCGAUCUCUCCUACAAUGGCUUCCAUGGAUUCCCUCCUCAAGAAAUCAGCCGGUUAUCACCAUCUAUGAAGCACCUCAACCUAACUAACAACAACUUUAUUGCAGUUCUGCCAAUGCUGAUGGCCGAGCUUUCGGCACUCCAGAACCUAAUUCUCAACACGAAUGACCUUCACCGACGAGAUUCUAGAGGCAUUCUCAAGCCUAAAGGAACUAACCAUGUUGGACCCAUGGGGCAACAAGCUUAGUGGUUCAAUCCAUGUCUGGAUCUGGCAGCACCAAAAGCUCGAGAUCUUGUACUUGUAUGACAAUGGACUCACCGAGGAGCUGUCGUGCAACAUCACUACGGUGAAUUUGAUUAAGAUAGACUUGUCGGCAAACAAACUCACUGGCUGCAUACCAGAAGACUUUGGGACUCUCAAGAAACUAACCAUUAUCAUCCUAUACAACAAUGAGUUCAUAGGCCCCAUCCCUAGAAGCACUGACCUCAUUCCCAACCUCCAAUACAUCUAGUUUUUCGACAAUAUGCUCUCGGGGUGAGGUGCUACAAGAACUUGGGAAGGACUCGCCGCUUGGAAAUAUUGAGGUCUACAACAAAAACUUGUGUAGCUCACUACUGGAGGAGUUUUGCGCUCAUGGGAAACUAUUCGACAUAGUAGAUUCUAACAACGGUUUCUCCGGCAAGCAUUGGCAACUACCUCUCACUGGAUAAUAUUAUGCUCGGUAACAACUUCUCAGGGAAGUUUCCGAUGAAUAUAUGGUGGUUGCUAUUGGUGCAUACAGUGCUAAUAUCGCACAACUUCACUAGCACUAUGACAAAACAUAUCUUCGAAUAUCUCUCGAAUUGAGAUGCAAAACAACCACUUCUCCGACUCGAUCCCGACGUUUGGAACUAGGUUAUUGGUGUUGAUGGUGCAUAAUAGCUAACUCUCAGGAGAGCUAUCUGUCAACAUGAGCAAUCUCCACAAGCUUUCUGAAUUUUCACUAAGUGGGAACAAGAUACCUGGAUCCAUACCAACAUCAAUUAAAUUGUUGCAAAAUCUCAAAUCACUUGACCUUAGCAACAAUCAUAUAUCAGGUGCAAUACCGUCAUGGAGCAUUGAGACAAUUUCAUCACUGGUAGUCCUUGAUUUGUCCAACAACGAGCUAACAGGCAAAAUUCUGCCUGACUUUGGCAACCAUUCAAUCGUGUCCCUCAAUUUGUCAUUUAACCAGCUCAAUGGGGACGUGUCCCUCUCUCUGCAAAGUGCAAAGUACAACCACAACUUCCAUGAAAAUCGUGGGCUUUGUCACAAGCGGGACUCGAGGAUAAAUCCGCCAAAAUGCCACAGAGGCACCCACCUCCAGAAGUGUGUGAUAAUCUUGUUAGUGCUUAAUGUCACGGUCAUCAUCACUUCUAUGAGCAUCAUCAUAUGGCUGCACUUCCGGCGCCGGAAGAACACACAAGUGGUGAAAGAAGUCGUGACUGAUUGGAAAAGGACACCAUUCACACCUUUGGACUUCAUGAAAUCCGACGUGGUCAACAACAUAUCUGAGGAUAAUUUUAUCAUCAACGACGGUCUGGAAAGGUGUACCGUGUCCACCUCCUAGCCUUGAUGGUGGCACUAAGGACCGCAACAGCAAAAUAGUGGUUGUCAAGAAGAUAUGCAACACGGGAAAUCCGGACCACAAACAACUCAGCUCGAAGGUGAAGACAUUGGGCUCAAUCACAAGAACAUCACUAAGCUGCUCUGCAAAAUCUCCAGCUAAGAUGCCAAGCUGCUUGUUUAUAAGCACUUGGAGAAGGGCAGCCUUGACGACUGGUUGCACCACCGUUACCGCGAGGGCGCCCCUACACCAUUGUACUAGCUGAGGAGGCUGACCAUCGCUAUUGAUGGCCAAGCCUCAACUACAUCCACCAAGAGUGGGGAGAUGCUAUUAUCCAUCGGGACAUCAAGUCAGGCAACAUUUUGCUUGACCCAGAGUUCCAUGCUAAGAUCGCCGACUUUGGCCUUACUCGAAUGAUUAUCAACCCAGGCCAGUCCCACAACAUGUCAACCAUUUGUGUUACACACGGGUACAUGACCCCCUGAUGGGUCUCAAAUCCAUCAAGGAAUCUCAAACAUUUUCAUCAAAUGCUAACUAAAUACGAAUUUUGCAGAAUACUUUCAGUACAAUGGAAGGGCGAGCGAGAAGACUAACAUCUACAGUUUUGGUGUCGUUCUGCUAGAGCUGACAAUCGGCGUGGUUGCCAAGGGCACUGGAGGUGGAGAAAGCUUGGUUGAAUGGGCAUGGAAGGUAUUACGGGAUGCUAUUUUUUACGGGAUGCUAUUUAACCAAAGAAAAAAUGGACAAGCAUAUCCGUGACUUGGCUCACUUGGAGGAUAUCUUUGUGGUGCUAAAACUCGGUGUAUCCUACACAGUCCUCAGGCGCAUCUGCAUCUACACGAAGCACGUCCUUACCCGGCUCAUGCUCAACCAGUGUGACUGGAGGCACAUACGUACAGAGGCUGGGGCUAAGCCCAUGUUGUGGAGCAGCUUUUGUCAUCCUUAUUUACAUAGCUCUCGUCACAAUACUGUAUUAAAAAAUAUAUAGUUUAACUUCUCCGAUGCCAAGAAAAAAUUGUAACACUGAUGGGCAAGGAAGAAGACAUGUAUAUGAAUGUCAUAAUACAUAAAGUACAGUGCAGAUCAUAGGUAGGUAAUAUUUACCGUGGUUUCCAGGAAUCAUAAAACAUUGUGGUCAGCUACACUGCCUGAGCUCAGAAACUCCAAGAGGAAGUUCAGGUUUUUCCAAUGUUACGUGUUCAGGCGUAUACCAAGCAGGAGGCUGGAGAGCAUACUCAAAAGGGCAGAAAAAAAUCAAAAUCCAAUAUAACAAGCUGGCAAAGAUAAUUAAUAUGUGGCAUCAUCCAUGUAUGGAAUGCAACUCGUGAUAAACUAGCAUAUGACAAGCAAAACAUUUAUAGUCAUUAAUCAGCAAACAUGAACUGAAAACUUCAAGUGAUGUAAAUGAUCAAAGUAUGCACACCAUGUUCAACUCUUCAGUACCCUAUUUUCUUAUCUGCUAGACAAACAUGUGAAAAAGACAAAUAAAGUGGUCAUCAUCAUGUCCAACUCUUCAGUACCCUAAUAAGUAAUAAUGAGCUCAGGAUAUCUUACCCAGUCACACCAUGUUAUUCACUAAAGCAUAUUCAUGUGACAUAUAGGUAAUAAACUCUUCAGUACCAUGGCUCGCCAACAACCAUUGGCAUUUUGUUAAGGGGCUAUGGACGUUGAAUACCAUAUUAUAGUUCUACGUAGAUGAAACCAUGACGAACAUAUUGCAUUUCCUUUUCAUCACCAUAAGUUCCCUCUGAAGAUGACAGAAUGCAAACUUAUCUGUUGACUUGUUUAUAUAAUACAACAACAACGACGACAAAGCCGUUAGUCCCAAACAAGUUGGGGCAGGCUUGUUGACUUGUUUAUAAUACAUCAAAAAGAAAUUCUACCAGAUGGAUGUGUGCAGACAGUAGGCAUACCCAGUUGACCGCUCCACGACAUAAUUGGCCAUGUAAAGACCAAUGAAUGUAUCCCACAAAGAGUAGACAGGUGAAAUGAUGUUGGAGCGUUCGGAUCCAUUGGAAGCUAACUGGAGCAAACAUACAAGAUAACAAUAAAGCAGUAAAUAAACCAAAGAGAUAUCCAAGCAUGAACAGAAGGUGAAGUAUACUAACUUCUCCAUAAAUGGCCCAUUUCGAUAGAAGUGGAUAAUCACUGGCAAAGCCAACCGGAGCAAACCAGGGCGAGCAAAUAUGAUCUUUAAACUUAUGCAUACGCCAUAGCUUUGAAAUCAGUGUAUUGUACUCAUUUUGCUUUAUCCACAGUGAAAAUGCAGUUCUAUGAUCAAUAGAUUUGUCCCUUGAAAGGGUCCUGUUACCACAGUGGUUGUAGAACACGCAGCAAGCUAUACUUACCACCUGUGAUGUGACAGAAAAUGCAAAUCUUAGAAAAAUCACAAGUAUCUAAGAGAACAUGAACGGAACACCUGAAUCAUUGUAUGCCAAAAAACUUACUGCGCAAUUUUUGAUUAUAGUAAGCAUCUCUGGCUUUUUCUCUGCCAUGCGAGAAACAAGAUCCAAAUACCAGAGUCCAAGAAAUGUGACGUGGAAGAUGAUUAGAGAGGAAAUAUAAACAGCGAGGAAGAGGGAAAGAUUCAUCCUCAAAUCCAACCCCAUUGACUGAAAACUAGGGAGAUGCCAUAAUGCUGCCAAGAAUAUCCAAGCAACGUACCUGUAUUCAGAAACAACAUCAGGGAACUUAUACAUCUUGUUUUGCUUCCAAUUAUCUUUUCAAAGACUCCCGAGAUUGCUUACCAGCGACUAAAGUGUGAAUAGUGUGGCUUGAUAGUCUUCCUAAUCAUGAAAUGUCUCGAAUGCUCAUGUGGGUAUGGGUAUCCAUGAGUCAGAAUGGUCCUAACCCUCUCCAUUAGAAGGGAUUCAACCAGACGACCAGAGGGCUGCUUAUGGAGCUUUUCUCUGACCACAAAAAUACUCUCACCAAGUCAGUGAUAGUUCAUACUCCUAGUCAAAGCAAGCAGAGUGGGCCCUCUCUCACUGGUGAAAAUUCCAGAACCGUGGCCAGAUCUGCAUAAAGAAACAAUUGUCACAAUCUGACUAAAUGGCGAUAAACCUGCAGAACAGCAAUAUCAAGACUAACUUCUGAAAGAAGUCCCAAGCUACAAAGUGGACAUACGGGGAUAUCCUACAAAUUUAUCUCAGUAGCUCCAAAGUAAAUCAUGUAAAUACUUAAGUCGCUUACGUAAAACGAAUACGAGGAGAUAGAGACAAAGGAACCAAAAAAAAAAGUAUGCGUAGACAAACUGCAGGAGCCCAUUAAGCACAUGGAUUCCAUGGGAACGGCAGGCAGGCAAUCAUAACCAGGGGCAAAACACAACUACUCUUAGUCAAGGUAGCUCUACCAGGACGAAACUUCUCCCAGAAACACAUAACUGAAAACAUCCACUGCCCGGUAGUGCAGUAAAUGUUCAUAGCCAGGCCGGUAAAUCUAGGAAACUACAGCGAACAAAGGACAAAUUUGGCUGCCCAAAUUGAUAUGUAAAGGAAGUCAUAAGUUUUUCAUAUAGGGUUUUUUUUUAUCUGAGAAUUAGGAGGGUUUCGGCAGAUGGCUCGGCGCAGAGGAAGAAAUAUUUUGCACACACGUACUGGGUGUUCUCUUGGGUCUCCGCCACUGAUUCCAGAUGCAUCUCAUUCAUGUAUAUAAAUCUGAGUCUAUUUAGAGAUUCCAAUAUGGACUACAUACGAAGCAAAAUGUACUCCCUCCGUCUCAUAAUAUAAGAGCGUUUUUAACACUACCUUAGUGUCAAAAACGCUCUUAUAUUAUGGGACGGAGGGAGUAGUUCAUAUUGAAAUAUCUAAAAAGACUUAUAUUUAGGUACAGAGGGAGUAGAAGUUAUGCAGAGUAUCCUCUGUAUAGUGCCACAGGCACACAGUAAACAGGUAGUACCCUGACCAUGUUGGCAUGACAUCCUACAAGUUAUCUCAGCAGCCCGACACUAAAGCAUGUAGUACUCCCUCCGUAAACUACUAUAAGAGCGUUUAGAUCACUACUUAUAUUAGUUUACAGAGGGAGUAAAUACUAACUGUCAGGACCCCGACUCAAUGCCACAUCGACCUAGCAUGUAACACCUCAUAUCACUUUGCGGCCUCACGCACGGUAUUCCCACGGGUGUCGCCUUACUUUUGCCCGGGACCGUUUGCGCCUUUUGGCACACGUAUAUGACAGUGUCGCUAGCAUCCAUAUGAUAAGGAGCCCGGGCUGACAUGGCUAGUCGUAAACCCAAAGUGGCACAGACUUACAGGGACAAGCAUCCAUGACCCAGCAUCGAACGUGUCGGUCAUCAGCGAGUGAAUCCAGGCUGUAGCACUGGGCUAGCAGGACUCCGGUGAACCGGGCUGUAGCGGGCUAACAGGACUCCGGUAUUCAUCGCGUGACAUUUCCCCGAAGGGACGGACACAGGAACGAAGAAGGACACAUGCCGGCCAGCCUAAGUGUUCCGGAGCAGUAGCAAGCUACCAAGGCUCAAUGGAAACACUAGGAGACAUUUCCCGGUAAGAGAGGCUACUAAAGAUAAACAACUAGAUGGUCAGAUCCCACACAUACCAAGCAUUUCAAUAACAUACACACAAUAUGCUCGAUAUGUGCAAAUACAACAUGGCAUCACAACAUGACUCUACGACUCAAGUAUUUAAUCAAUAGGCUCCGAGGAGCGAGAUAUUACAACAUGGGUCUCAUGACCCAACACUCAGAGCAUACAAGUCAAAGCACAAGCGGAAGCUAUCAUGUCUGGAUACAGACAUCUAUAAAUGAAAAAGGCUGAGAAGUCUGACUAUCUACCAGAUCCUGCCGAGGGCACAAGAUCGUAGCUGAGGUAACAAGCUAAACGUCGAAGUCCACGCGGAACUACUAGUGAGACCGAAGUCUCUCUGCAAAAACAUAAAAUAGGCAAACGUGAGUACAAAUGUACCCAGCAAGACUUACAUCAGAACUAACUACAUAUGCAUCAUUAUCAACAAAGGGGAUGGUGGGGUUUAACUGCAGCGAGCCAGCUUUGACUCGGUGGCUAUCCUAAACUACGACUGCAAUGUAACUCUUUUGAGGUGGCGCACACGAGUCCACAUAUUCACCAUAUCAAUACACCACUAUGGAACCGCUCCCGUCUCCCUACGAGAACGCCAUCCAUAGCACUCACGCUUAUCUUGCGUAUUUUAGGGUAUCCACUUUCACUUGUCUAUGAACUGAUAUAAGCAACCCAGAAGUCCUUUUCCGUGGACACGGCUAUUCGAAUAGAUCAUAUUAACCCUGCAGGGGUGUACUUCUUCACACACGCUCUCACCACUUACCGCCGUUUACACGACAUGUACUCGGCAACCUUCAAGCGGAAGCCCAACGUGGGUGUCGGCCACGGCCUACCUAAACACUCGAGUCUCUAGUCCAGGUUUAUCGCCUAUUCGGGUUCCAUCCAUGAGGAGAUCCGGCCGGAGUUUCGCUCACAGCCCCAAACGAUGUGUACAGGGUUCCGUGACACCAAACGGGCGCCCGGUUUACCCGGCCACGUGCCUACCGCAUCACAGCCCACCCCUACGGUCAGCGCUGCGCACGGCCUCCAGCAUACUACAAACACCAGAAACUACUUGCAACUCCUGGACAGAGGACAAGGGUGAUCAAGAAGCCGAGAGGGUCCAUUGGUUUCGGGCCCAAUGCGUGGUAGUAGCUGAAUCAUGGAUCACAAACACAGAACUCAGUUCCUGAGGACGGCUGCAAUGAGACAACCCACCAUGUACUCCUACAUGGCCUCUCACCGCUACCUUUACCAAAUCGUAUUCACACACUUAGCUCACACACAGUAGGACAGGUUCACACGCCUCUGAUUCAUCCCCGAUGAAUCAGACCCGACUCGACUCUAAGCAGUAGCAGGCAUGACAAACAAGCAUGAAUGAGUAGGCACAACAGGGCUCAAACAACUCCUACUCAUGCUAGUGGGUUUCAUCUAUUUACUGUGGCAAUGACAGGUCAUGCAAAGGAUAAAGGGGUUCAGCUACCGCAGCAGGUAACAGAUGAAUCGUUGUUGUCCUAAUGCAGUAAAAGAGAGCAGGAGCGAGAGAGUGGGAUUGUAUCGGAAUGAACAAGGGGGUUUUGCUUGCCUGGCACUUCUGAAGAUAACAUUGAGUCUUCAUCAGUGUCAACGAUCACAUCAUCGGUAUCGCGUCUAUCGAGAGGGGACAAAUACCGGCAACACAGAAAGGAACACAAUCAAUGCAAUGCACAAUAUGAUGCAUGAUCAUGACAUGGCAAAAUGAAUGUGUUUUGGACUAAUGCAACUAGCAACAGAUUAAAUGAAGUUGGUUUGAAUACGAGAUUCAAUUUCAAACUCCAUAUAUGAUUAUUUAAAUGCCAUUUAAUUGAUUUGUGCUAAACAGCAGCUAUAAGUUGUUCUAACAUGCAUGAAAAUGGUACAGAUGGAUUCCUUGAAUUUUUCUGAUAAUUUUUCAUAUAUAAAUUAUUUAAUUUGGAGUUACGGUUAAUUUUCUAUGUUUUUUAGAAGUUUUAGCUAUUUUCUGGAAUUUCCUGAAUAAUAUUAAAUCCAGAAAUGAUUAUGGCGUCAGCACCACGUCACAGUGACGUCAGCAGGGUCAACUGGGCUGGCUCGGGUCAAACCUGACGUGUGGGGGCCACACGUCAGUGACACAGGAGCUAAUCCCGGUCAAACCCAGCGCUGACUGGGGUUUGACCAGGGGUGGGGCCCACUGUCAGUGGCUGUGGGGGUGUUUAGCGUGGUCAUUAGUGCUAACUAAAUCAGCGCCACGUCAGCUGCCGGCGUUUAACUGCCGGCAAGCUCAGAUCGCGGCGGCGUCCGCGUCGGGUUUGCGCUACAGGGCGCCGUUUUACUCGUGGUUUGCGGCUACGGCUAGCUGGCAAAGCAGCGCAUCUAAUGGAGCGAACGGGAGGAGCUGGGGUGGCCUGAGUCGACGGCGGCGAGCUCCAAGGCGGCGGCCGAAGUUCGGGCACCUGCGGGUUUGGCGUUGUGGUGCUCGGGAGGGGAAGCUAGUGGGUUCUACGUGCUCCUGGUGAGGUUUGGAGCACGGUGGUGUGCCCGGCUUUGAGCCACGGUGGCUCUGGCCACGACGGUGACGAGGCACGGCAGCGGCGAGCUCUCGGAUCCGGCGGAAGCAAUGGCUAGAGCGGCCAAACGGCAUGGGAAGAAGAGGGAAACGGGUCAGCGGCUCACCGCGAAGCUGCAGGGAGGGUCAGUGGGCUCGGGGGCGCGCCGGAGUGGCCGAAUCGACGGAGAAGGGCGCCGGGGCCGAAGCUUGAAGACGAUGGCGAUGGCGGCUGCUCGGGGCCCUUCUGGUCGCGUGAGACGACGAGGAGGACGGGGGCGGAACAUCGGAGCUUUGGGAGGCGUCGGGGAGGCGAGACGGUGGUUGUGGCCGCGCGAGCGCUGGUCGGCGGCGACGGGCUCCAUUCGGUCGCGGGAGGGGGAGCAGAGGAGCGAGGGGGAGCGAGGGGNNNNNNNNNNGGGUCGAUCUUCUCGAAGAUCGAACAACUCACGGAAUGAGACAUAGGACCAUCUCUCGGGUUGAGACACGAGAUACACAUCAAGAGGGGUGGAAAGAAACGGAUGACGAAGGUUCACUAGGUGGACAACAAUUCCACACUUAAGAAGGUGGUAAACGAUUGUCCACGUAGCGAGGAGUUGAGUUGCCAUGAUACCACGACGAAACAUCCUGAAGGAGGGUGAUUCGUAGAUUAUUUCCUUAAGUGGCAAAAAGAAUUACCUUUGAUUCAGAGAUCAUUGAAAACCUUUAUACCAGCCUAAGGCAAUUCUCAAGCGAUCGUUUGGAGGGGGUCAGUAGAAUGGCAUACUCGGACUUGGAUGAUGUGGAUUACCUUGUUGAAGACAACGCAAUGGAUGAAUUUGCUUAUCACCGGAAAUGGAAGAGACCCAUGGUAGAAUGGCACAAUGGCGGUGCAAGCUGGGAACAGAAUGCAAAUGCUGGGAAUGAUUCUGGUAACUGGGGAAGAACCCAACAAUAGAGAGUGAAUUCACUGUUUGAAUAGGUCAUAGCAUUGCCGAGGAAACUGAGAGGAAUCUCAGUUAGAGCCGAUGAUAACACGUAGCGCUUGUGCGUGCUCUCAAGAACUUGAGCAUUUCCAUAAUCAUCAAGGUUUUACCAACAUCCGUGUCAAGGAUCCUGGCAACACAACUUGCUACCAUGAUAAAUGAUGAUGGAUGAUGCAGAUGCAAAGGAAGAUAACACUUUCUCAAAUUUCACCCUUGGCGGGGCCAAGGAAAUAAAAUCUGGAUGAUCAACCGAGAGACAUUUAGCACUCCGCUUCUAAUGUACUCCUUGAUGUGCUAGCGUAAUCCACCCAUAGAUAUGGUUUGAUAUCUAGAACAUCAAGUAAAAGGUCGGACUUCGGAACACAAAAAUCCAUAGGGGCAACUAGGGAGUAAACCCUACGAAAUCCCUAUGGGGAGGUGGCCAACUUCAUCAAUCAAGAUAUUAUAAUAACAGGUCUUCCGGCUGGGUGUGUUGGCCACGACAUCCACUUUACCGGUUAUCGCGCGACCAACAUUAUAAUUCUUGGGAAAUAUUCCAACCAUCAUAUCUGCCUGAGAUUCAGAUCUGGUUGGUGUCAGGAUAUUCCAGACUCAUCGAGUCUAGGAAGAAAAACGGAAGUUUGCCACACAAAUCGACGAGAUGACGUUGCGGGAUUCUCGGGAGAUGAACUACGAUAGCAAGCUCCAAAACAUGAGCUGGUUCUGCUACAAACAUGUGAACACGUUGUCCCAGACAAGCAUGACCACGUGGUAGUCUUAUAAUAAAACACUACCGAGUUCAGGUGGGGAACCAUCAACGAGGAUAUCAAAAUCCUUGCAUAAGGCAUGCUCUUAAGAAGGAACUUCUUCUCCUUGAACAAAUCAAUCAGUGGCUUGGUGUGCUCGGAACACAUAUGGAAUGAAGGUUGCAAGUCUCCAGACCACAGAAUACUUCGCACGUAUGCAUGACUGACUUGGGAUGAUUCCAGAGGAAGCAAAACUAACUUUCUCAAAUCCACGGCGGCAACUUUCACCAAAUGCACGUGUAUAAGAGGAAGUCACUCCUUUCAUCAAACAAAUACUUCAUGAGCUAGCAUGAAGAUAAUGCUUUCAAAAGUUUCCAACACUAGCUUAAUGUUCAACAAAAUCAUGGAGGAGAUAAGGAUGUUGUCAAUGGGCUCAACAACAAUUCAUCUAGGUUUCCUUUUAAAAGGAAUUCCAUAGUUAAGUGAACACGGUGAUAGCAUUGGUCAGACCAAAGAUGUAAUGGUGUAUGCUCGAGGGAUCAACCACGAAUAAUACAACAUUACGAGCAUCGUUGGUACUGAUUUGAUUUGACGAUAGCCCACACUCAAAUCAAAGGAUUGAUAAGACAAUAGGUCCAGCAACUGAUCACAGGGACCAAUCAAUGAAGAUAUCAUCUUUCUUCAACACACACUACACAAGAAUAUCCCUUUGGAACAAACUAAGUUAGGCAAGCUUUUAUCUUCCAAUUCUCCAAGUUGUUGUCUAGCUUAACCAACUAGCUCAGGGAUAUCCAACACAGAUUCUUGGAGAAAGGGUGGUUCACAAGAAACCAACUUGAUCACGAGCUCAACAUAACAGUCAGGGAACAACCUGGUAAUACUUCCGAGAAGAUAUUCGGAAAAUCAUGAACCACCGGUAUGUUACUAAGCUCGAGAACAAUCUCGCUUUUGAGGGCAAGACGAUAUGAUAAAAUGAGUGAGGACUUGACAAGAUCCUAACUCAUCAAUCGAAGGGUGCACCGAAAUAAGGACUAGGUAGCACGAUCAGUCUUAGAAGGAUGAUUCAAAAACCAACACGCUAAGAAUGAAAUUAUUAUCCUUUAACUACCAAGCAACGAGGUUGCUGGGAGUAUUGAUUUCACACAUCUCAAUUCAUUUAUCGGUAUUCCGGUUGCAUCAACACGAGGGCCGAGGAAUGACUAAUGAUGGUGAGAAGUAUCACUACGUCAAAAUUCAUGAGAGUUGGUGCAGUUCUCAUGACAAUUCUGACAUAGAGGGGUAAUACUCCAAGGUAGAACAGAACCAAAAGCUGGAUUGGCAUUUGAUCUGCGGCAUACAACUUCUUUGACUCAAUCCUGGAUAUGGAAGAGGUACUGGAGUUUGUUUCUCCUAGUCAUUCCGAACUAGAAUGGCUUGACGGACCACAAGAAUAACGAGCAUCGGUGAACACGAAUGCACGACAUCAACUUGACUAUCAACUGCUGGACAAGGGUCAAAUACAACUACAGAGGGACAACUCAAAAGAACAUAUGAUUUCCUGAGUUGUGGAUGCAUGGUUUAGCAUGUCGAACGAAGUUCAACAUAUUUCUUCCGGAUAACCCAUGUAGAAAGGUAGAACUGGCAGAGCCACAAUAUAUAAUGGAGAACUCAUCAAGAGCACUCUGGUUGUGAUCGUUCAGUUCAACGAGGAACUUCUGCCAUAAGUAGUUUAUGGUAUUUGGAAGAAGGAGAUACCACGGACUUCAAGGACUAUCGCAAAGGUUACUAAUAUCCUAAAGGCAUUAGCAAUUACUAUCAACAUGAAGUAGGUAGAGUGAAUCUCGGGUUCAAGAACCCAGGAACAGAAUACCUACUACUAAGUAGCAUCACGGGAUGCUUCCGAGAAUAAAGGCCAGAAUCAUCAUACUGGGAACACAGAUCAUGGCUAGGCCACUAGAUGAUCCCCUAAGACACCUAGGGUCAUAAUAAUAUCUCCAACAUAUAUGUCAAGGUAACAGAGUACCUCAACUCACUGAUUAGUGUGGUUAAUCUGGCCCAUGGGAACAUUGAAACGGGAAGAAAGGAUUUGCAAAUGCAUCAGACUACUUAGAAACCUGGGAUGAUUCGGAUAGCAUAACGGCUGUAAAUGCUCAGAAAAGAUUUGAGACAUUCACAAAAAUGGUGGCAUAACCACUCAGAAGCACAAUAUCAAGGUUCCGAGAUCAACAAUUAACAUACGGAAGUAGUAGGAACUGAACUGAGACUUAAACCCAACAAUCUUAAGUCUACGGAUUAGUAACACGUGAUCCUGAUAGAAAGAAGAGAUAGCCUAGUUCUUAAUCCCCGUAGAAGAGAAGAUGAUGACUCAGAUCAGAAGGCCAUGAGGUAUAAGGAGUAAAAAGAGCCUUACGUUCCAUCCCACAAUCAAUUCCCUUAUAUAACUAAGAAUUUCUAGACUCAACUUCGACCAGUUUGGCUUGGUAAUCCUACAGGCAGUCAAGCUCUGAUACCAACGCUGUCAGGACCCCGACUCAAUGCCACAUCGACCUAGCAUGUAACACCUCAUAUCACUUUGCGGCCUCACGCACGGUAUUCCCACGGGUGUCGCCUUACCUUUGCCCGGGACCGUUUGCGCCUUUUGGCACACGUAUAUGACAGUGUCGCUAGCAUCCAUAUGAUAAGGAGCCCGGGCUGACAUGGCUAGUCGUAAACCCAAAGUGGCACAGACUUACAGGGACAGGCAUCCAUGACCCAGCAUCGAACGUGUCGGUCAUCAGCGAGUGAAUCCAGGCUGUAGCACUGGGCUAACAGGACUCCGGUAUUCAUCGCGUGACAUUUCCCCGAAGGGACAGACACAGGAACGAAGAAGGACACAUGCCGGCCAGCCUAAGUGUUCCGGAGCAGUAGCAAGCUACCAUGGCUCAGUGGAAACACUAGGAGACAUUUCCCGGUAAGAGAGGCUACUAAAGAUAAACAACUAGAUGGUCAGAUCCCACACAUACCAAGCAUUUCAAUAACAUACACACAAUAUGCUCGAUAUGUGCAAUACAACAUGGCAUCACAAAAUGACUCUACUACUCAAGUAGUUUAUUCAAUAGGCUCCGAGGAGCGAGAUAUUACAAACAUGGGUCUCGUGACCCAACACUCAGAGCAUACAAGUCAAAGCACAAGCGGAAGCUAUCAUGUCUGAGUACAGACAACUAUAAAUGAAAAGGUUGAGAAGCCUGACUAUCUACCAGAUCCUGCCGGGGCACAAGAUCGUAGCUGAGGUAACAAGCUAAACGUCGAAGACCACACGGAAUUACUAGUGAGACUGAAGUCUCUCUGCAAAAACAUAAAAUAGGCAAACGUGAGUACAAAUGUACCCAGCAAGACUUACAUCAGAACUAUCUACAUAUGCAUCAUUAUCAACAAAGGGGGGUGGUGGGGUUUAACUGCAGCAAGCCAGCUUUGACUCGGUGGCUAUCCUGAACUACGACUGCAAGUAACUCUUUUGAGGUGGCGCACACGAGUCCACAUAUUCACCAUAUCAAUACACCACUAUGGAUCCGCUCCCGUCUCCCUACGAGAACGCCAUCCAUAGCACUCACGCUUAUCUUGCGCAUUUUAAAGUAUCCACCUUCACUUGUCUAUGAACUGAUAUAAGUAAUCCAGAAGUCCUUUUCCGCGGACACGGCUAUUCGAAUAGAUGAUAUUAACCCUGCAGGGGUGUACUUCUUCAUACAUGUUUCCACCACUUAGCGUCUGCACACGACAUGUGCUCGGCAGACUUCAAGCGAAAGCCGACGUGGGUGUAGACCACGACCUACCUAAACACUCAAGUCUCUAGUCCAGGUUUAUCGCCUAUUCGGGUUCCAUCCAUGAGGAGAUCCGGCCGGAGUUUCGCUCACAGCCCCAAACGAUGUGAACAGGGUUCCGUGACACCAAACGGGCGCCCGGUUUACCCGGCCACGUGCCUACCGCAUCACAGCCCACCCCUACGGUCAGCACUGCGCACGGCCUCCAGCAUACUACAAACACCAGAAACUACUUGCAACUCCUGGACAGAGGACAAGGGUGAUCAAGAAGCCGAGAGGGUCCAUUGGUUUCGGGCCCAAUGCGUGGUAGUAGCUGAAUCAUGGAUCACAAACACAGAACUCAGUUCCUGAGGACGGCUGCAAUGAGACAACCCACCAUGUACUCCUACAUGGCCUCUCACCGCUACCUUUACCAAAUCGUAUUCACACACUUAGCUCACACACAGUAGGACAGGUUCACACGCCUCUGAUUCAUCCCCGAUGAAUCAGACCCGACUCGACUCUAAGCAGUAGCAGGCAUGACAAACAAGCAUGAAUGAGUAGGCACAACAGGGCUCAAACAACUCCUACUCAUGCUAGUGGGUUUCAUCUAUUUACUGUGGCAAUGACAGGUCAUGCAAAGGAUAAAGGGGUUCAGCUACCGCAGCAGGUAACAGAUGAAUCGUUGUUGUCCUAAUGCAGUAAAAGAGAGCAGGAGCGAGAGAGUGGGAUUGUAUCGGAAUGAACAAGGGGGUUUUGCUUGCCUGGCACUUCUGAAGAUAACAUUGAGUCUUCAUCAGUGUCAACGAUCACAUCAUCGGUAUCGCGUCUAUCGAGAGGGGACAAAUACCGGCAACACAGAAAGGAACACAAUCAAUGCAAUGCACAAUAUGAUGCAUGAUCAUGACAUGGCAAAAUGAAUGUGUUUUGGGCUAAUGCAACUAGCAACAGAUUAAAUGAAGUUGGUUUGAAUACGAGAUUCAAUUUCAAACUCCAUAUAUGAUUAUUUAAAUGCCAUUUAAUUGAUUUGUGCUAAACAGCAGCUAUAAGUUGUUCUAACAUGCAUGAAAAUGGUACAGAUGGAUUCCUUGAAUUUUUCUGAUAAUUUUUCAUAUAUAAAUUAUUUAAUUUGGAGUUACGGUUAAUUUUCUAUGUUUUUUAGAAGUUUUAGCUAUUUUCUGGAAUUUCCUGAAUAAUAUUAAAUCCAGAAAUGAUUAUGGCGUCAGCACCACGUCACAGUGACGUCAGCAGGGUCAACUGGGCUGGCUCGGGUCAAACCUGACGUGUGGGGGCCACACGUCAGUGACACAGGAGCUAAUCCCGGUCAAACCCAGCGCUGACUGGGGUUUGACCAGGGGUGGGGCCCACUGUCAGUGGCUGUGGGGGUGUUUAGCGUGGUCAUUAGUGCUAACUAAAUCAGCGCCACGUCAGCUGUCGGCGUUUAACCGUCGGCAAGCUCAGAUCGCGGCGGCGUCCGCGUCGGGUUUGCGCUAUAGGGCGCCGUUUUACUCGUGGUUUGCGGCUACGGCUAGCUGGCAAAGCAGCGCAUCUAAUGGAGCGAACGGGAGGAGCUGGGGUGGCCUGAGUCGACGGCGGCGAGCUCCAAGGCGGCGGCCGGAGUUCGGGCACCUGCGGGUUUGGCGUUGUGGUGCUCGGGAGGGGAAGCUGGUGGGUUCUACGUGCUCCUGGUGAGGUUUGGAGCACGGUGGUGUGCCCGGCUUUGAGCCACGGUGGCUCUGGCCACGACGGUGACGAGGCACGGCGGUGGCGAGCUCUCGGAUCCGGCGGAAGCAAUGGCUAGAGCGGCCAAACGGCACGGGAAGAAGAGGGAAACGGGUCAGCGGCUCACCGCGAAGCUGCAGGGAGGGUUAGUGGGCUCGGGGGCGCGCCGGAGUGGCCGAAUCGACGGAGAAGGGCGCCGGGGCCGAAGCUUGAAGACGAUGGCGAUGGCGGCUGCUCGGGGCCCUUCUGGUCGCGUGAGACGACGAGGAGGACGGGGGCGGAACAGCGGAGCUUUGGGAGGCGUCGGGGAGGCGAGACGGUGGCUGUGGCCGCGCGAGCGCUGGUCGGCGGCGACGGGCUCCAUUCGGUCGCGGGAGGGGGAGCAGAGGAGCGAGGGGGAGCGAGGGGGAGGGAGGUCCAGAGAGCGAGGGAGAAGUGGGAGGGGGUCGGGAAGGCGCGUGGCGUCUCCGGGCGUCGAGGAGGGAGGCAACCAGGCAGGAGGUGGCCAGGGGGAAGCAGGAGGUGGCCGAGGCCUCUCGGGCGCGCGCCACGCCUCGCCUCUGUUCGUCCUCCUGGCAGAGGAGGAAGAGGACAAGGGGGAGGAGGUGGGCUGGGCCGGCCAGAUGGAGCUGGGCCAGGUAAGUGGCGCCAGGUAAGUUCUGUUCUGUUUCAUAUUUUUCUUCUGUUUUGUUUUUAUUUAAUCUUUUGCCACUGUUUUGAAAUAAAACAAAUUCAAAGACAGUGACAAAAUUCCCCUGAACAUUUUAUUUAGCACAAUGGGAUUAUACCAAAGCACAUAAAAAUGUUUCAGUUAUUUGAACAUAUAUUCAGUAAUAUUUGGAUAUAAGUUCAAAUUCAAAAUAGUAUUGAUUUAAAUUCAAAGUCCCAAAAUAAAUCCUUUUAAAAUGUUCAUUAUUUUUGGUUUAGAUCAAAACCCUUGCCAAAAAUAUUAAACAUCUAAGAAGAGCAUUUUGGAACAAUGGAUGAGAUUUUAGGGUUUUUGCCCUUCUUUUAUUUAGGGUUUUGAGGCUUCUGAAUUCCUCAAUUCAAAUUUCAUUUGAAUUAAAACAUGAUGCUCACAUGAGGUCUAGCCUAGUGCAUAACAGGACCAGGGAUGUGACACUAACAGCCAUCCAUCCCAUAUGCAAUAUAUAAAUGGAUCCCAGGAGGGGAAACUGGAUACAGAGACAAGAGAACCAAAAAAAGAUACUCUAGUUAGGAGAGACAAACUGCAGGAACGCAUUAAGCACAUGCACAUGGAUCCCAUGGGAAAGGGACAGGAGGCAAUCAUUAGGAGAGCCAGAAACCUAGCUUUAAUCAAGACAUUAUUAUGAAGCAAAGGCAGAUCUAAAAGGAUGGGAUUUGUCCCCCCACCCCGCAAUUUCCCCCUGAAAUCUUUGAUAAGACCACGGCUACAUAGAAGAAAGAAGUCAAACUCUGAAAGCAUAUCCACUGUCCAGCACUUGCAGCAAAAUGGACAUGGCCAGGCCAACAAAUCUUCUACUCCCUCCGAUCCAAAUUAAUUGAUGCAACUUCAGCACUAUCAUCUUUGUACUAAAGUUGUAGUACUAAAGUCGCGUCGAUUAAUUUAGAUCGGAGGGAGCAGUAGGAAAUUACAUUGUGCAAUGAGGUCUGUGCUCUAGUACAAGAAACUACAGAGAACAAAGGGACAAAUCUGGUUGGCCAAAAGAGACAGACAAAUAAAGGGGGUAGCAAGUUUGUUUAUAUAUAGUCCCUCUGCCCCCAUAGUAUAAGAUCUUAUACAUGUUGGAUGUAAUAAAAUCUUAUAUUAUAGGACGGAGGUAGUAAUAGACAGACAGUAUCUAGGAGAGGAACACAGAUGGCUAGCCUUUUUGUUUUCCCCUGAUGAUAUGCCGGCGACGAACACGAGAAAGCGGAGCGAGUAAACAACACAGGUACCCAGGAGGGAAACUGCAGGUAUGAGUCAACUAAACUGGAACCAGAACUGAAUUCGCGCGCGCGUGCACACAAGCAAUCGCAGCAGGAAAGGGAGGCGGCUUACCAAGUAAUGAUCCGGCCGGGUAGGGGACGAACGGCCUCUGGCCUGCGGCGAAAUUCGGGAAGGUGGGGAGAUCUUUGGCAGCGGAAUCUGCCCGAGUUUACUCCCCGCUGCCGCUGCGCCUCUCUUGUAGCUUGCUGGCUGCGGUGGCGGGACAGUGGUGUCACGUCCGAAUAAAGCAGCAGCGUCCGGAGCCCAACCCACUAAUCUCCAAACCUCACCGACUUUUCUGCCAUGUCCCAAACUCUCUUGACUUUUGGUACAGGAUACAGCAAGGAUUCAUUGGGUGGGACGAGAUGAGGGAACAAUACAGUAGGUGAGAUGCUGAGAGAACAGGAGGGGAAAGUUCAGAGCCUCUCCUGCUAAUCCACAUCUACUCUAGACUCUAGACUUAUACCCAUGGAAGCUUUAUUCAUCUUCCUUUUUGCGCACAUGGCUUGUCUCGCCAUUAUUCUCCCCAUGCAUGCCACCUCUCCUCUCCUCUCUCGCACCGCACUGAUUUCAUGCAUGUUUUUCAGCUUUUGUACUCGGCGAAAAUGCAUACCGCCUGAUCCCGAAGGUAAAGGAUAGCCAAAUGAUUCAACUUGUUCACAUCAUUAGUAGUAAUCUUUAUAAACAAAGUAUUCCUGGCCUUCUAUUUUUUGAUGUUUCCUACUGUUUGACCCGUUUGCAGGUUUUUACAAGGGAAUUAGUCCAGGUGUUACUGGUUCGCUUGCCACAGCAGCUACAACAUAUUUUGCUGUUAUUCACUAAGACAUGGCUGGAGCAUGCUAAUCCCAAUCUAAGAGGUCAUUUUUUUUAUAGAAAAGGAGGUUAUCCCCCGGCCUCUGCAUUCGAAAGAUGCAUGCGGCCAAUCUAAGAGGUCAUUGGUCUCAUUUUAUUGCUAGAGGAACUGAUGAGAACUUUGGUGGCACUUUGCUUUGGCAUUGUAAUGUACCUGGUUACGUAAACUCUAUGCUGGCUAGCGAUAAAAUGCUUUGGAGCAUUGUUUUCAGACUUUCAGCGUGUUCGCUAUCUGGAUGGGAGUCCUGGGUCUAGUUCCUCGUGUCCAAUCCUUGUUUGUGUUGUUCAUUGCAACUAUGUACAGUACAGGGUAUUCUCUUCUAGUAAUAAAUUCAGAUGCAACUCUUCGAAACUUCUGAUGUAAUAUUUUUAUUUUGUUUGGUUCAGUGGUUGUGAAUUGGUUGCAGAAAUUUGCCAAUUCGUUAAAUCUUGCCAUGGCCAGGUAUAAAUUAUGUAAAUAUUCAUACAAACCAAUAUCCCUUGAUAUUGCAGGCUGAGAAGAAUCCAAAUCCCAGUAUAUUCCAUACCACCAAUUCAGUUAAAUCUUGCCAUGAUCCAACUCUUCAACUGACUCAACUGACAUGAUAGAAGUUACAACAAUAAUAACUACCAGGUUGUCUUUUAAUACUCCCUCCGUCCGGAAAUACUUGUCGGCAAAAUAGAUGUAUCUAGAUGUAUUUUAGUUCUAGAUACGUCCAUUUUCAUUCAUCUUUAUGACAAGUAAUUCCGGACGGAGGAAGUACUUGAUUAAACUAUUAAAUUGGCCAUCUGACCUUUACUCCUCUGUUAGUGACAAGAUAAUAUGCUUGUCGUCGGUGGCUGUUGUUGGGGACUCCACUUAGCGCCGGCCAGCUCAUGUGGUUCAUAGGGCUGGGCGUGCACUGCUUCCUAGUGCAGGGAGACGUAAGGAGCGACUAGAUGUUACUCCUCAACUUUGUGUUGCUAGCAUAUUUCCCAUGUGGCCCUCACUUGUCACCUGUCAAUUACACUGAGGAUGUCUAUCAUUGAGAGCCUGUCUAUCAUAUAAAAAAAGAUGAAACUCAUGGGCACUAGCACCCAUGGUUUAUUGAUAUAGGAGAAGCAUCCCUUGUGAGAAACCAGAAAUUCGUCCCCGACGUGGCUCGAACCCUGGUUGCUGGAGACGCCACUGCGCUCCCUUGCCACUAGGCUACAUCCUGUCUAUCAUAUAGAUGCGUCUGUUUGAGCUUGAACUCAUAUUCAUGUUCCUGAGCUUGAAUUUGUAUCCCUGAUGUAUCCCAUUCAUGCUACUAAUAUCGAAUCCUCCGAUGAACUAUUGAUACGCUCCAUCCAGCAUCAUCCUCAUGUUCGCAGCUAGUUAAUAUCCCAUAUGCAUCCAACUCAACUAGACGAGAGGCGUUCAUCCGUGCUAUGGUACAUGAAGCUUGAAAGCCAAACUACGAAUCUAGUGACGGGUCAUUGUGUGUAGCAAUAGCAGUGCAAGCAUAUAUCAUGUGACAGCACUACCAUCAAAAGAAGAUAAUAAGUUGAAAUGAUUUUUUUGAGCUACUUGUAUCAACUUUAAGUAAAAAAAAUUGAAGUUGGUGAACUACUUUUGUUCUUUUUAACAAAUUGGUUAUGUGCAUCAACUUUGUUGGUACACCCCCUUUUGAAAAAAAAUGAAGGAUACAAUUUUGAGUGUCUACCAAUACGACAGAAAACUAGUUGAUAAGGUACGUGUAACGGUAGAAAUGUAAAUAGGUGCAAGAAGCAACUAGCGAUGACCGAUGACUGAUCAAUCACCUACUGCUGAUAUGUAUAUUGUGACUCCGAUACUAUAAAACAGACUUGUAUAUUAAACAUUCUUUUAGUUAUUUGAGCCUUCCAAGUUUAACCUAUAACAAAAUAGUGUGCAUAAAUUGUUUCAUGUAGCAUUACACACUUGAUGCCGAACAAGUAGCAUGAACUUGUGCAUCCAGCAAGCAUGCAUAGAACAACAUCACAUGCUAGCUAGUAGCAAGGGCCGAGUCAGGAUUUAGACAUAAGGGAGGCAAGAUAUUGGUGAAGUCAUUUUUUGUCCUCACAAACUACUCAAUAGUUUAUAUCUAGCUAUAGCUAAGGCUUGCCAAGACAGUAGAUUCACAAUUUUUUUCUUGAAGUUGGAGCUUGUCUAGCUAUAGCUAAUUUGGUUCAUAAUUCUACGUGCCAAGUAGACGAAUAUCAUAAUCAAACUACUCCGAAAUAUUACAUGAAUUAAAUGCCUUGCUACAAAACAUUAUCAAAAGGAAUUUAAGAUAUACGAACUAUAACAAUCAUUGUAUAACCAAAUUGAUGGCUUAAUGACUUUUAGCAUGUAUCUAUACAGGUUUAAUGAAAAAUCAACAGUGAUAGGAUUUUUUUUGUUAUAUUAAGAUUUUUUUAUCAAUGUUGCUAGAAUACAUACCUAGAGAAAAUCUAGCCCGUGCCCAUCCCCUCUACUGCUAGGAGAAACCUGAUUGCUUAGUCAUCUUUGGCAGCCAUGCAACAACCAUCUGUGCUUACCAAUGUUCAACGAGGCAUCGACUGGUCCGAGCUUUCAAACGAUCGCGGAUGCCUAUGACCUAAUGCGGUGAUGCAUCACAAAUCAGACAAUAAAAAAUAGGUAAUCUAAUGUAUAAGUUCGACAUGUUACAACAUGAGAGUUGAGAGAAAUUAGUAGACAACAUGAUGUGUUAGCCUUUGUUGGUUCAUUGGCAGCCUAAAGAGUUGAUGACUGAAUCAACCUCCAUAGUAAAGAAUUGAAGGUUAGCGAAAGCAGAGUGGAACUAUAUCUCGCAUUCAACGAGAUGGUAGGACGUCUUGCGUUAAGCAUCUACAGUUCCGGGCCGGCCCAAUAGUGCACCUUUAUAAGAAAGGGAGAAGAAAAAGGCGAGCAACCCUGGAAUCGAACACAGGACUUUGGCAUGAUAGGCAGCGCUGCAAGCCAGUGAGUUAGCGACGGCUACGGCUUUGCGGAAAAUAGUAGGGCGCAACCUACUUAAGGGGAAAAGAGCCGGUUUUCGAUUGGGUUUUCAGUUUUUUUCCUUUGUUUUUUCACCGAUUUUUCUUCGUUCCUUUCUCCAAUUUCAUUUUUUUUGGUUCUAUAUUUUUCUUUGGUUUUCUUUAUUUCCUUUCAUGGUUCUCAUAGUUUUUUCUUUUUAUUUGUUUUGCUUCAUUUUUCUUUGUUUCUUUCUUGGUUUUUUUCCUUUCUUUUUAGUUUUCUUCAUUUUUCUUCGGUUUUCUUUUGUUUCUUUCUUGUUUUCAUCUAUUUUUCUUUUUAUUUCCCCUCUGUUUUCCUUGUUUUUCAAUAGACAUUUUUGGUAUAUAUGUAAUCAAAUUUUCUAAUAGACGCUUAACAUUUUCCAAAUACAAGUCCAAUACUUUUUUGAAUACAUGAUCAACUCUUUUUAAAUCCUUGAUUAACAUUUUUAAAUUACAACAUUAAAUUUUUUAAUACAUAGUAAACAUUUUCUCUAUACAUUUUUUAAAAUGUUUAACUAACACUAUUCAAAGGAAAUAUAAACAUUUUUGAAAUACUUGUUCAACAUUAUUUAAAAUGCCUGAUUAAAUUUUUUAUAUACAUGAUAAAAAAUUCACCAUUUUUAAGUACAUGGUCGACAUUUUUUCUAUACACAUUUAACAUUUUCCAAAUUAUUUAUUAAUAUUUUAUUUUAUUUUCAAAAGCUUGAUUAACAUUUGGAUAUACAUAAUCACAUUUUUCUCAUCAUUUUUAAUUUAUGGUCAACAUUUUUUCUAUACAUAUUUAACAUUUUUUAAAUGCUUGAUUAACGUUUUUCAAAUAAUUAUUCAACAUUUUUUCAAAUGCUUGAUUAAAUUUUUUUAAAUACCUGAUCAAUUUUUUUCAUACAUACUGUUUUUUGUAUACAUUUUUCGUAUAUGUGAUAAACUUAUUCUCUAUACAUAUUUAACAUUUUUCAAAUGCUUGGUCAACAUUUUGAAAUGGUUUUUCAUAGUGAUUUUUGUUAUUUAAAAUAUUUUAAAAUAGAAAAAAUAAAAAUAAUAAACGAAGAAAUGAAAGCAGAAAACAUAAAAGCGGAAAAAACGAGGCUAUGUCCUCCCACGCGCCUGGCCGGCGCAUCUCGCUCUCCCCUGCAGUGAGGGGUCCCUAGGUCUCGCUAGAAGCGGACAAUCGGUCUAGCUAGGGGUGCAGAUGGGGCCGUGUCCAGAUCUGGUAACAGAGGCGCAGCAGCUGUGGUAUGCCGUGACAGAGCGGGACUAUUUCUAGGAGCUUCUGCCAGAGUUUUCGACGGUCUCACAGAUCCGCCCUCUUUGGAAGCACAAGCAUGCAAUGAAGCCCUGGCGUUGGCGACGGAUCUCAAUCUCAACUCUGUAUGCGUGGCGUCAGACUGUGCCACCGUGAUCUCUAUGAUCGGCGGGGAAGUUCCUUGUCAGUUCGCUUCGGUCUUGAGUGAGAUAAACCAUAGGGCUAGAAAUUUCCCUAAUAUCCGUUUUGUUCAUGAGAAUAGAAAGCAUAAUUUUGAAGUGCCUUGCAAAAGCUGCGGCUUCUCUGUCUCUCGGGCGCCACCUGUGGCUUGUUAAUACGCCCGACAUCAUCUAUAUCCCUAUGAACAUCCAGAUUUAAUAAAGGUUACAGAUGCUCAAAAAAAGCUGGGGAUGCCAAUCUGUUUUUUUUUUUCUGUUUUCCUCUUGGUUUUUACUGGUUUUCCAUAAGAGCACUAUUUUUUUUAAUUUUUUUAAUGUAAAUGUUUUGCAAAAAUGAGAGCAUUUUGAAAAAUAUCUGAAAAUGCAUUUUCCAAAACAUGAAUACUUUUUAAAAAUUGGUGAAUUUUUUGGAAUCUUGAAUGUUUUGAAAUUUAGAAAAUAUUUCUUGAAAUAAAAUAAAAUAAAUAACUGUAAAAUGAAGCGAAAAAACCCAAAAGGAACCUUUUAAAAGGUUCCCGAAACAAAGAUUCCGUAGAGCCAAAAAGGCAUCACUUGCUAGCUGACUGUGCAUUUGUGUGACAAUUGGAAGCUGUGGGCGCAAUAGGAUUUGUCGGGGCCAAGUACUUACGUACGUGCAAUCAUAUCGCUAAUUAAUUUGUACUUUGUUCCUACUAUUAAGGUACACGUGCAUUGCACGCAUAAAAUUUGGCAAUCAAAUUAUGAAUAAAUACCAUACUAUAGCAUGUAAACUUUGAGUAAUAUAUACAUGAUGCAGAUGAUUCAUUUAAUUCUUAUAGUUUAUCUAAUUCAAAAUCAAUUAGUAUUAAUAAAAAAGUUAAUCUAUUUUAAGAUUCAUGAAGUUAUGCAUUGUAAAGCAUAAAGUAAAAACAAAUAAUGGCAAUUCAUCUAGAAAAAAGUUUGGGCAAUUAUGAUAUGAAAGAUUCUAGAACAAAGGAGAAGUGUUUGUGUUUUGAGAUUUGUGCAUUAUGCUUAAGUUCAACCAUAGUCUUCUAAAUUGUACAUGUGGCAGAAUCUGAUGAAAUGUAGAUGAUAUCCAACGGCCAGUAGUGUUUGGAUUCGUCAUCUCUACACCGUCAGAUUGACUUCAUCCAAUGACCAUCUUUCAAAAUUAUUCGCACACUAUAUAGGGGUAUAAAAAUACAAGAAUUUCUAUAAAAACUUAUAUUUAGGAACGGAGGAAGUACUAUGCAAUGUUCGCCCACCCUUGUAUCCGCCACUCGCCAAAUAUGCACAGAGUAUAGACCCAUGUCAUUGCUUGCUUUUCCAUUCUUCCUAUCGUCAUCCAAGUUUGCACGUGCAUGCAUGAAAAAAUAAAAGGCGUAUACCCCUUCAAUUUAAUUUCAUACUAGUGCCGAUGAACCCACCUUGGCAGCAGUUGAAUUGAUAUUUUGAUUCUUCAUUAUUAGUAUACAUCGCCAUCCUGUUCAUUGGUGCUGGUUGUGCUUUGGUGCUACGAGGGAGUCCACAAGCUAGGAACAGUUUCAAUGGUUUAACUCGUUUUUCGGUCAGGUCCAACUGUCUUAAUUAAUUAUACGUUGACACUCUAUCUUUAGCACAAACAGUACUCCCUUAAUUUCAAUUUGCUCUGUGUUUUUUCAUGCUCACAUUUUCUUUUGUAAAAAAACAAUUUACUCGCAAAUUCCUGUUUUGUGGUGAUAUUUUCCGUUGGAACCCCUCUCAUUGUAUGUUCCAUUUCACCUCUCCUCUCUUAACGACCCCACUACCAUGCUUGCAUUUUUUCCGCUGCUUAUUUCUUUGUCUUCCUCCUCCACUCCCGAUCACAUGUAAUGACGACACAUGCAUCCCAAUCCCAUCUAAAUGAGACACCUUUUCUCAUCCUUGUGCUCCCCCCUUUAUCAGCCCAUGAUGGCCAUUGAAUAUGAUUGCUUCCAACCGUGGUGGUGGAGAGAAAGCCAUAAUGACAUUGAUGUGUGUGUUCCGGGCGAAAGCCUUGACCCGACUUUGCUGGUGCCGUCGACGGUGGCGUUCUCGGGCGUCGUUUUCCCUCCUUGGAGGCGUCGUUGUGAAACUCAUCUUCUUCUACGUGGGGCUUGGGCUCUCCGGGUGAAAACCUAAGCUCCUGAUGUUUCCGGAGCGGGCGGGCGGCGGCGUCUUCGUCGUUUCCCCCUUCGGGGCGUUGCUUGGGAGAGUCAGCUUGUACUUGAUGCGUCUGGUUUUCCCCUACGUCGGGUUUGGUGGAUGCCGGGGCAGCGGCCCGGGACGGCUAAUGUGUGUCGAGGCGGCGGCUCGGCCUUGCUUGGGUGGCAAUCUUGGGCCACUUGGGUGGCAGGCUUGUCGGUCCGGUCGACGCGCUCCAGAGGGGGCAGUCUGACUUCACGUCGGGGCGGCGGCCCCGGAUGUGGUGCGACGUUCGUGGUCUGCGAGCGGUUGCCCUGAGCAGCAUGGGCUGCGGGCAGCCGGGUUGUGCAGCGUUGCUACUUGUGGGGAGCGGUGGUAUGUUGGGGCGGCGGCCCCGGAAGGCGGUGCCGGUGGAUUGCGCUGGGCGCGACGGAGCGGUGGAUGUCGGGGCGGCGGCCCCGAGAGAAUCACUGUGGCGACCAGACUUCUGUGGCUAAGAUGAUGGCGGGAGCGAUGUCGGCGACGCGGCAAUGGUUGCGAUAGUCGGCUUUUCUCCGGCGUGUCCAUGGUAUUGCCUCGGUUUUGUUUGUUGCUGUGGAGUCGAAACUGCGGCGGCGGGGCCCUAUGGUGUACGAUGACUGGCUGCAGGCGGCACUUUCGGCGAUCUUUCAUGGCGCCAGCCGUGCCUGGUUUCGUUUUUCUGAGUUCUCCGUCAGAGUCGGAGCUGCGUUGUAUGGCUGCAGGUCGACAUGUCGUCGAUUAGGGUGGGCUUUGCCCUGUGUUGUUCUGUCUAUGGAACCGGUUUAUGCCUUGUUGUUCCUCGUUGCGAGCCCUUACACAGGUUGAGACAAUUUUUCUACGCCGCGUUGAUUGACGACGAUUAGGAUGGGAACUUCCCCACCCUAGCCUCGGCCAAACAUGAAAAUGCCCUCAUUGUGAAACUGUGACCAUGCAGGCAGAUCGACAUUAAUUGGACCUAGAUCCCAGUCGAUCCCCUGUAAGAAAACAAGACCUAACACAUUGACCACAUGAGCCAUAUUGUAAUUAUUAGCCAAAACCUAUAAAACCAAAACUUUUUAUCACACUCUAAUUUACCACAAAUUCUCGAUCAAUGCAUGCUUCGAGAAGCCAGCAAACACUUAGGAACAACCACAUUCCAAGACUACCAAAGUUGUUUCGCUUCCGCACCAAAUAAUCACUCCGAAUCCUUGACUGACCAAGCAAGAAUUUCAACGAAAAGAACACAACAUGGUGACUCAGUACGACCAAACAACCAUUGAGAAAAAAAGAGCUUAAGAUUCACCUGCGCAGAAGAGCAUGAAGCUAUGGAGAGGACGGACAAAAUAAUCACAUAGCAACCAGGAGAUCGGAGGCAGAUCAUUUUUCUUUCAAGGAAUUCUUCGUUCUCAUUAGGAACAUCGGAGGCAGACCUGGCGGCAACAGAGCGACGUGAACCAAAUCCAAAUUCACAAAAUUAGGAAGAGGAAACUGAAAUUGCUACCAACCUUCCCUUUGGAUCAUGAAUUUCUUGCGAUCCACACUCACAAACGCAUCGAAAGAUGCUAACUCUUGAUAGAAAGGAAAAACAACACACCGUAAAACUCGUGACCAGAAGGGCUACCUACUAGGCGUGCUACCUAGAUGUCUCCACCUAGCCCUUUCCCAAUGGGCUUACCUGCUUGCCUGGAAUAUUACUCCUGGUUUUUGGGGGACUGGGGCGGUCGUACCCCCUGCCCCUCUCCAGGGUCGUACCUGCAAGAGUGGUAGUAGCCCAUAAGGAGACUUCAUGCUCGAUUAUAUUUGCCACACUACUCAGCUUUGAGAGGAUGCCUUGGAACGUCGGGGUUCUUUUUUUUUGAAACAAGGCAAAAGGUUUGCCAUUUUCAUUGAAUAAGAAGGAGUCUCAGGGGUCUUGGCCAAAGGCCAAAUACAACGUAUCACUCUCGCGGCAUGAUAUUACACAAAUGUUUCGCACCGGCCAGACACCAUAGCAUCGUCUCGUCUUUGAUUCUAGCUACUAAAACCCCAACAGCCACUGCGACAUUACGGAAUACCCUAGCAUUCCGCUCUUUCCAAAUUUCCCAUGAGACGAGCAUCAUAAGGCAGGUAAGCGGUCGUCGAGAUUGCGUCGUGUUGGAAGCGGUGGCGCUCCACCAGCUCUUCACCGUGUCAACCAUGGCCCAGUUCUGCGGGUGAAUGUCAUGAAGGCCAAGCCACGCUUUAAUCAUGUUUCAUACUCUAACCGUGUAGCGGCAUUUGAAGAGCAGAUGAGCCGCCGAUUCCUGUACUUGCUUGCAUAGGGGGCACAUGUUGCAAUUAGGCCACCCUCGCUUCUGAAGCCGGUCUGCCGUCCAGAUUCUAUUGUUGAUGACUAGCCAAGCGAAAAACUUGCAUUUUGGGGGGGCCCAAGUUGCCCAAACAAUUUGAGGCAAGUCCGAGUCAACUAAACCGAGAAACUGCGCACUGUAAGCCGUUGCUGCAGAAUAGUGACCAUCUUUGGUGAGCUUCCAAAUGAUGGAGUCUGGCAUGUCAGGAAUUAGCUGAACAUGAGAUAGCUUCUCCCAUAGGUUGACGAACUCAUGAAGAUGGUCAACAGUCAUGCCCUGAGAGAUCUUCACCUGAGACACCCAAAAAUUGUUGAGGAGCGCUUUCUGGACCGUGUAGUUCCUUCUUUGUGACAGCUCAAAAAGUUUGGGCGCAAUGUCCUUGGGUCGCAAACCAUCAAGCCAAGCAGACUCCCAAAAAAGGCACGUGUACCAUCGCCCACGACGACUUUUGUGGAGGCCGCAAAGAUGUCUCUAUCCUGUCGGUUGCACGGCGUCCCUAGUCCCACCCAGGGCUUGGUGGGAGUAAGCCACUCACCCCAGAGCCAACGAAUGCGCAGAGCAGAUGCAAAUUUUUUCAGAUUGAGAACGCCAAGGCCAUCAUGAAGUUUUGACUUGCAGACUUGCUCCCAAUUAAUUUUGCAUUUUCCACCAGUGACUUUGUCACAACCAACCCACAAGAAUGCCCGUCGGAGGGCAUCAAUCUUGUUCAUCACCUCAACCGGGAGGUUCAGCGCCGUCAUAUAAUAGAUAGCCUCUGCUCAUUCCCAGCCCACAGUUAAGAACGUCGGGGUUCUUAACUGUGAAAGAUUAUGCCUCCAACUCGCAUUCCCAGUGCAUCCUAUUUCUACAAAAUCUUUGUCACUUAACAUCUUCUCCGACACCCAACUUGUUAAAAAUAACUAGUACUUGUGAUUUUUUUGUGGGCAAGCUAGAAUCGGUGAAACCUUUUGGUUUUGAUCUACUAUAUGAAGGCCGUGCCAUGGGUCGUUGUAGGUGCACGUUGAAAUUUUUGUUGUCUGCUCUAUAUAUCAUGUGAAUGACUAUGAUUUUCUAAAUAUAUAGACGAGAUGUGAUUAAUACUGAGGUAUGCAUCAAUGUAUCAAUGCACAUGUGUACCCUGCUUCCUGCAGAUGGUGAGAUUGAUCACGGCCAACAUAAUGAAGCCUCUAAUCAUUGGUCCCAUUAUUGAAUGGACAAUGAAAGAUUUUGUGCGCCUUUAAACAAAUAGGGUGUUGAAUGAAUUUUUAAGAAAAUGGUCAUAUUGGAAUAUUCAUAUAAAUUCAUCAGAACCAAAGAAACCCUAAUCUAUAGAAUUCUUGAAGCGAUUUGAACAUAGUUUAAUUAUAUCCCCUUUCCGCAUUCAUGCGAGUGCUCCAAUAUGCUUAUGCGUUACACUAUAGCCCCUCUUCUAUUUUUCUAGACAACUGAAGGUCACCCUCAUUGCCUCUGCAUCUUGCAACUGAAAUAUACAUAUAUCCACACUUUAUUCAAAUGUACGUAACAUCAAACAAGUUACAAGAACAAGAAUACACCACACGGGAAACCCGUCACCAGUAUCAUGACAAAGUUGCAACACUUGCAAUCAAGAACUAGUGAGACCCACCGAUUAAUGCGCCUAGAAGGUUUGAAUUGCCUCUAGCUCUAUUAUGUCUCCCAGAAUCGGCCCUAGAAUCUGCAGUUCCAUAUUUACUUGCAAUCAAGCAGCCUCGUUACCAAAUUUCAAUUUUUGUUCUUUGAUUUCGAGCAUCAUUCUUAGCAGCCAAACAUGGUGAAUAUAAUAUAUCAGACUAUGCAGUGAAGGACGCCAAGGAUAACCUCACAAGCUAGCCACCAGUUCAUGUUCAACUUGAUCCAGAAUUUUUUUUUUUGGAAUGCGGCAAUGUCGUGCUGGUACAUUUGCUUGCUGUUUCAUCUCUCCACCUGAUGAUAAAAGAUAAAUGGUUGGGAAGGGCCAGCUAUCACCAAGGGGUUAAAUAAAGUAAUAAACCUUGUAAAAAUAAACACCAGCAGAGAAGCUCGUCUGUUUGUUUCGUUUUAUUUUUGUAAAACCUUCAUGGCGGCUUGAUUGAUCAGUAAAAACACCUAUAUUAUUGCCUGCUACCUGGGGCCUUUUUUUCUUUCCGGGUCUGCUACCUGUGGCCUGUCUCUCCAUACAAUCGCUUUUGAUGAUUGCCCUCCCGUUCAAGUGAUCUGACCUGCAAGGAUGAGGCCAUCUCGUUGUUGAUGCAUCGGCAGCAGCUUGCCAUAGGGAACGUGUGCCCUGCUCAUGGUGAAGGAUAAACCUCGAAAUGUUGGCACUAAUCUUGAUUUCAUGUAUCUGCAUAUUUAGUUUUGUUAUGCAUGUAACUUAGAGGGUCUACGUACUAGCUAGUCGUCGGAGCUUCAAUGAAGAUGUGUGGAGAAGGCGAGAUGUCAGACCGCCGUGAGAUACAGCAAGUCCUGCGAGAUGCCGAUGGCGGCGCGAAGCCGCAGUGCUGCAUGAGGCGGCAAAGUUGUGUGAUACGGCACACACGUAGAUGGUUGAAGCAAGACUGGCCGGCUGGACGGUGGGUUAGUUUGCAUGCAUGGAGUCGUCGUUAGCUGCAUGUAUAGCUUGGUUAGUGGGCUAGCUAAAAGGUUGGUCAUGUAGCCGUGCAUGCGUUGAGUCUGUUUGUGCAUGACCGAGUGUAGAGUUAGUUAGCAGGUGAUGCAUAUCCCGAAGAGAUUCUAGGAGGAGAUGGUGUUAUGCAGACGUGUGUAGGAUAGUGGCCGAUUGUGCCGGUCAGCUAGUGCGUGCGUGCGUAGGUUAGUGGCAUGAGUCUGGCCGUUUGUAUAUAUAUGCUACAAUGAGAAAUGAGAAGAGGCCGAGAGGGCUGGGCAAAAAAUGUAGUCUUUUGUGUUCAUUGAGGAGGAGAGCCUGUCGUGCAAAGCAACACUAGUUUUCUCCUUGGUGUAUGUGUGUGUGUGUUCUUGUGUGAGACAAGAGAAGAUAGAGAGAAACCACAAGAGAGAGUUGAGAGGAGGAAGAAGAAGCGGCGCUACAAGGAGAGGCGGCGCCAACAUCGAAAACCCCUGCUCGUUCAUUAAUACAGAAUGUCCCUCCCCCGCGGCCGCCAGCCUUCCUAGGCCCCACCGCCACCGCCGGCCGUCCCCGCCCACCUCCCCCCUCCUCCCCCUCCCUCUCCCUUCCCCCGGAUCCGCUCUGUGCCGCCUCCCCGGGAGGUGGCCGGGGCGGCGCGAGCCCGCCCCCCUUCGGCCGCCCCAGUUUCUCCUCCCCUCGCUGCCACCGCCGACGGGCGCCCCCGGCGCUGGCCGGGUGGUGUUGGCGGCGGCGGGGCCUACCUGUCCCCGCGCGCGCGGCUCCCUGCUCGGGGCAUGGGGGCAGCGGCGGUGCUCCUCGGCUUGAUGACGGCCCGGCGUCCCGGCUGCGGUGGCCGGCGGCACGCGCGAUGGUGGUGUGGCUCCUUGGCGGCGUGACGGCGUGGUGGUGCAGGUUGGCCGGUGGCGCGCCCCCGUCCCAGAUCGGGGCCCGCGGGCCCCAUCUGGGUCCUUGCCGGCCGGCCCCCGGCGUGGCUUCGUCGCUUUCUAUGUGGUGAGGAGGAGGAGCAGCUCGGACGGGGGGCAGCGAUGUCGAUGGCGUGCCAGCUGCGGCGCGAAGGAGGGAGUUUUCCGGGCCUUUGAGGGCUGGGCCGGGCCUGUGGGGCCACGGGCCCGGUAAGCUCCUGCUUUGGCGUCCGGUUGGCUACCGUCGUGGACGGUGGAGGUGGGGCCCUCCAGUAUGCUGAUGGUGCUGCUGCCCUAGUCCCGGCUCCCCUUCCUCGUUGUGCAGGCCAUCUUCGCGGUGCCGUGGUGAGACAGCGUGGGAAGCUUCGUGUCCGUGUUGGCGCAGGGAGGUGGUCGCUUUGGUGGCGAGCUCCGGUGUGCCUGAGGUGGAGGAUGUGAUCAGGAGAAAACCCUGUUGGCUUGGCCGACACCGACGCGGUGGCGCCUGAGGGUACCACCGGACCUUCCUGGAGGGCGUCGGGGCUACCCUUCCUAUCUUCUCACCGCGUACCGGGGGGAAACCCUNNNNNNNNNNNNNNNNNNNNNNNNNNNNNNNNNNNNNNNNNNNNNNNNNNNNNNNNNNNNNNNNNNNNNNNNNNNNNNNNNNNNNNNNNNNNNNNNNNNNNNNNNNNNNNNNNNNNNNNNNNNNNNNNNNNNNNNNNNNNNNNNNNNNNNNNNNNNNNNNNNNNNNNNNNNNNNNNNNNNNNNNNNNNNNNNNNNNNNNNNNNNNNNNNNNNNNNNNNNNNNNNNNNNNNNNNNNNNNNNNNNNNNNNNNNNNNNNNNNNNNNNNNNNNNNNNNNNNNNNNNNNNNNNNNNNNNNNNNNNNNNNNNNNNNNNNNNNNNNNNNNNNNNCGGGGGCGAUUUCCAGUGGACGCAGUCGCGAGGCUUCGUCGUUUUUGUCGAUCCGCCGUUAUCGGCAUUUGUUUCUUUUCUUUUUUUCUCUUUCUUUUCUUUUGGGCGUGAUUGUGCUGCUUCCACCCAGCACCUAUCGUUGGUUGUAUCUCGUAAUACAAAGCGGGGGAAACCCUUUUUGUAAUAGAGAAUGCAUUGUCAUAAUCGCGCACCUGAUUCUCCUCUUGCUAUCCAUUAGUCCCGCACAUAUUUAUGGAGCAUCACCACAUACGUAGCUAGCUACAUUUAGAUGCCCACGAUCUAAACAUAUACAGAGAAGCUGCGCUAACGAAUAUAUAUGAGAAUAUAUGCUUAUGCCUACGAAAUGAAGCUUGUGGAGUGUGUUCUACAUGUUUCCUCUACGUAAUCCAUGGUCACUUUAUUCUCUCAUGCAUGUCUCUCCUUUUUGAUCCGAUCCGAUCAUUGUCUCUCUAAAGGAGCAAGCGAUAUCGCAUCCUUCUCAGUUUGGCAUGUGAUCUCCAAGCCAAAAAAAGAUUGUGCCGCAUGAGAAGUUAAUAUAGUUUAGGAGUGAAAAUAAAGGCGACACAAUCUGGGAUGCUGCUGCUGCUGCUGAAUCAUUUAAACAUUUUUCAAACAGUAGUGAUUAGUUUUUUAGACCGUCCGGUAGUGAUUAGUAGACUCCACAAAAACAGUUUACCUUUUUAGUAGAUAAUAAAAGAACUCGUGAUAUACAAAGUGAUUUUGGUGAGACAGGGUUGGGCCGAAAGAGAGAAACGGAAGCGGUGUGGGCAACUAGUUAACUAGUUAAUUGACCAUUUCUGUUUCUCAAAAAAAGAAAGUUAAUUGACCGUUUCUCUGUUGAUGGCUUGUGGGCUGUAGUUGCCCGGGUCCAAUCCGUGUAGUGGUGCCGAUUGAUCUGUGUGAGACAAAACUCUAUUUGAUUGCAGUGAUCAUCUGCUGCAAGUUCUUGUGAAUCAAAAUAAAAUAUUCACCACUUUUAAUUAAAUAAAGGAGGAGGUUUAGACAAAUGUCCGCAUCACGCGGAGAACUAAAGACUACUCUCGUGGUAGUAUUUCAUUAUUCAAUUGAUUGACGUGAUGAGUCCAAAAUUGCCUUAUUUUUUACCUUUAGUUUGUGUUGUAGUCAUAGUAUUUCAUCAGGAUCUUGACCGAGGAGGGAAUCCGGAGCAUUAAAAUGAAAAAAAAACAAGUAUAUGGGUGAGAAUCAUAUACUUGUAGAAAAAAAAUACAAGUAUAUUGGCGUGAUGGGAACCUACCUUAAGAAGCAGAGAUCAAACGGAGUCUAAACCAGCCACACUAGCACUUCAAGGAGAGAUGAUGGCGCCUGGUACCAUCCACACUAGCACUUGAAGGAGAGACGAUGGCAAAGUGUGUCUGCUCGUACUAGUUCUUGUACCAGGUGGCGUCACAUCCCCAGCUCAAUUAUUUUACCCAAGUGGCUUCGGUUCACGACGAGGGGCUGUCACCAAAGAGAUCAAAAACUAAGAACCCUGGCAUCCGAAAGGGGUCCGAAGGGGAAUCGAUAGAAGGGCUCCGCGACACUAUCAACCCGAUCAAAGAGACUCUGCCAUCAAUCAGCAGCAUCACCAUCCCCCUAUUGAUCUCUUUGUAAUACCAAACCUUAGGUGGAUUUUCACAUAUACUACUUUGAUCCUUCAUUCAUGAUUAUCAUUAUUAUCCCUUUGAUGCUUGUUGUCUCUAUGUCCAAGUAAAAUCCCUAGUUCUCGUGGAUAUGGAGGAACCCUAGUAUGCUUAGGUGUUGAAUGCGGAACGCCGAUAGGAUUCGUCAUCCUCCUUGUAUGUUUAUGUUAAUAACCAUUUUAUCUUUGGUGAAGUCGACCCUCAAUUAUUUUCCCUUAGAGACGUAAAGGUUAUUACUAUCGGUGCGAUGAUGGGUUGGCGGAGGUAGAUCAUUUUAUUUUAAGGCAUUCUUUGUUCUUUUUAGGAAUAUCGGAGGUAGAACUAGCAGCAAUAGAGCGAUGUGGACCAAACCCAAAUCAACAAAAUUGGGAAGGAAACUGAAACUGCUAAGCAAUUUUCCUUUCGAUUGUGAAAUUUCUUGCGAUCGAAACUCGUGAACGCCUGGGCAGAUGCUAACUCGUGAUAGAAAGGAAAAAGAACGCACCGUAAAACUCAUGACUGGAACGGCUACCUACUAUGCGUGCUAGCUACCCAUGUCUCUGCCUAGCAAUUGCCCGUUGAGCUUACCUGCUCACCUAGAACAUGACACUUAAUUGGUUUUUGGCGCGAUCGUGCAUGCUGCGCCCCUCCCUAGGGUCGUCCCUGCCAGGGUAGUAGCCCAUAGGGAGACUUCAUGGCCGAUUAUCUAUGCCACAAUACUAACCUCUGACCAGGGGUCUUGGAACGUCGUGCUUCUUAACUGCGAAGGGUUGUCCCUCUAACUCGCAUUCCCAAUGCAUCCUAUUUCUACAAAAUAUGUAUCACUUAACAUCUUCUCCUACAUCCAACUAGUUAAAAAGAACUCGUCUUGUGAAAUUUUUUGUAGGCAAGCUCGAAUCAGUGAAACCUUCUGGUUUUUAUCUGCUAUAUGAAGGCCAUGCCAUGGGCUGUUUUUUUUGCCAUGGGCUGUUGUGGGUGUGUCUUGAACUUUUUGUUGUCUGUUCUAUAUAUCACGUGAAUGACUAUGAUUUUCUAAAUAUAUAUACGAUAUGUGAUGAAUACUGAGUUAUGCGUCCAUGAAUCAAUGCACAUGUGUACCUUGCUUCAUGCAGAUGGUGAGAUUGGUCGUGGCCAACAUAAUGGCGCCUCUAAUCAUUCGUCCCAUCAUUGUAUAGACAAUGAAAUAUUUUGUGCGCCUUUAAGAAAAUAGGGUGUUGAAUGAAUUUUGAAGCAAAUGGUUAUAUUGGAAUAUUCAUAUAAAUUCCUCUAAACCAACGAAACCCUAAUCUAUGAAAUUCUUGAAGAGAUUUGAAUAUAGUUUAUUUAUCUUCCCCUCACCGCGUUCAUCAAGUGAGCGCUCCAAUAUGCCUAUGUGUUACACUAUAGCCUCUUUUAUUUUUCUAUACAACAGAAGGCCGCCCUCACUGCAAGGUUGAUGCAUCAGUACAGUUCUAAAGAUGGAGCGGUGGCAGUUGGCGGCGGCGGCCUCUGAGAGCACGCCGGACCAGUGUGUGUCCCAUACCCGGCAAGUGGCUAGGUUGGGGUCUCAGGUCUUAGAUGUUAGGCUUGGCUGCGAUGUCUGUUUGGUAUUAGGCCCAGGCUAUCUGCGCCCUUCAUCAACUGGAUAGGUGUAGAGACAUUUGUUGCUUAGACGGCGGCUUUAGUCUUACUGUUGUAUGACUUUGUAAGGUCUUGUGAGAAUAAUUAAUAAAGUGACGUAUGCAUCGCCCAGAUGCAGAGGCCGGGGGUCAUCCUCCUUUUCUAAAAAAAAGAAAGCCACCCUCACUGCCUCUGCAUCUUGCAAUGUUGCAAGAUCAUAUAUCCACUCUUUAUUCAAAUGUAACAUCAAACAACUUAAAAGAACAAGAAUACACCACGUGGGAAAACCCAUCACCAGUAUGAUGACAAAGUUGCAACGCUUACAAUCAACGACUAGUGAGACCCACCCACAUCAAAACAGCCAAGAUAGUUCAAGCCUUCUUCAUUCGUCCACCCCGAUAUGAUUAUGACACCCAGAAGGUAAUGAUAGAGUGCUUUGGAUCGAGUCGGUUAGAUCUUCCGGUGAACCUACCUUCUGCUGGUGCAGAUGAACUCGAUCCAGCGCCGGCCAUGGUGAAGUAGGGGCCAGUGAUGGCGGAGAGAUGGCGGCGGUGGUGUGCUUCCCGUGAGCACCGCGCUAACCCUAGAUCGGUAGGGAUUGUAGGUGGGGAUUGUGGCAGCGAUUAACCUCGUAAGUCGUGGCCCGGCCCCCACCUCUGUUUAUAUAGCUCGGGUCACAGGGGCCCACCAACCAUGGUUUGGUUGGGCGCCCCCAAUCAGGGCGCGAGUCAGGGGCCGUUCGACCCGUUGGGUUCAAACGGGAGAGAGAUCAACCUAACAUUCUCCCCCUUGAUCUCAACUUUAAUUUUAACUUUAUACUUUCUAGUUUAUUUGUUUCAUCACAUAUUGGUACAUAGAGCAUGUUUCAUCGUCACAGCUUAAUUGCCGAUAGAAUCAUACAGCUACAACAUACGUUAUGUUCAGAAGCAAAUUCUGUUCCUUUUGGGCCUAUCCAGAAAUCAUAAGGCUUUCACUUAAACCCAUGCCGGCUAAGUGUUCCUUGAACACAUUGGGUGGUAAGCCUUUAGUUAGCAGAUCUGCAAGCAUAUCCUUUGUCCUUAUAUGCUCGAGACUUAUAGUUUGAUCCUGGAUUUUAUCUUUCACAACAUAAUACCUUAUCUCUAUUGUUUUGGCAGCAUUACUCGACUUGUUGUUGUGAGCGUAAAAUACUGCGGGUUGGUUGUCGCAGUACAUCUUUAGUGGUUUGUGAAGACAAUCUACCACUUUCAAGUCGGGUACAAAUUUCUUUAGCCAUAUCGCCUGCCCCGUGGCUUCGAAGCAUGCUAUGAAUUCUGCAUACAUCGUGGAUGAUGCAACUAUUGACUGUUUGGAGCUUUUCCACGAAAUAGCUCCCCCAGCGAGAGUGAAGACGUAUCCCGACAUGGAUUUUCUAUCAUCUCUGUCCCCUGCAAAAUCUGCGUCUGAAUACCCUUUUAUCUCUAGGGAAUCACUUCUCCUGUAUAUUAGCAUGUAGUCCUUCAUGCCUUGCGCAUAACGCAAUGCUUUCUUUACCACCUUCCAGUGCUUCAUGCCCGGAUUCUCUUGAUAUCUACCGAGUACCCCGGUGAUAAAAGCUAAGUCAGGGCGAGUGCACACUUGUGCAUACUAUAAGCUGCCAACUGCCGAAGCAUAUGGUACUGCUUUCAUUUGAUCGAUCUCGUACUGGUUCUUGGGACAUUGGAAUUUUCCAAAACUAUCGCCCUUGACUAUAGGAGCAGGUGUGGCUUUACUCGCAUGCAUAUUAUACUUUUUAAGAACCUUUUCUAAAUAUGCUUUCUGCGAUAGUCCUAAGACUCCAUUGUUCCUAUCUCGGUGAAUUUCUAUGCCCAAAACAUAUGAUGCUUCACCAAGAUCUGUUAUGUCAAAAUUUGAGGAUAAGUAUUUCUUUGUUUCUUGUAGUAGACUAACAUCACUACUAGCAAGUAGGAUAUCAUCCACAUACAAGAUUAGGAAAAUAUAUUUCCCAUUUUUAAACUUUGCAUAAAUGCAAUUAUCCUCAAUAUUUUCUUUAAAUCCAAAACUUUUAAUCAUUUGAUUAAACUUUAGAUACCACUGCCGAGAGGCUUGUCUUAAUCCAUAAAUGGAUUUCUUCAGGCGGCAUCCCAUAUUUUCCUUGCCUUUCAUGAUAAAACCCUUAGGCUGUUUCAUGUAGACAUUUUCUUUUAAAUCACCAUUCUGAAAUGCCGUCUUAACAUCCAUUUGAUGUAACUCUAAAUCAAAAUGAGCAACUAAUGCCAUUAUGAUUCUGAAGGAAUCUUACAUGAGACUAGAGAAAAUGUCUCAUUGUAAUCUAUCCCUUCACUUUGUGUAAAUCCUUUUGCCACGAGUCGUGCUUUAUACUUUUCUAUAUUCCCUUUAGAGUCAUACUUAAUUUUGUAGACCCAUUUAUAGCCUACUGUUUUGGCUCCUUUAGGAAUUUCCUCUAAGUCCCAAACAUCUUUGGAACUCAUCGAUUUCAUCUCGUCUUCCAUUGCCUUCAUCCACUUCGAUGAAUGAGGGCUUCUCAUGGCUUCUUCAUAUGAGGUGGGAUCUUUUUCCAUAUGAACCAUUUCUGUGUUAUAAACUUUAAAGUCAGUAGAAAUAGCCGACUUUCUUGGUCUUGUAGACCUUCUAAGGGCCUCAUUUUCUGGCACAUUCUGUGCCUCAACUUCUGGCACUUCUUAUAAAAUUUGUUGUUGCACCUCCCUUUCAUGCUCAACAACGGGUUCAGUCGGCUCCUGACGGACAGGUUCCGGGUCUACUCCCAUAGCUUUCAUGGGUGGAGUUGCAACUGGUAGUGAGAAAAAUGGCUCCUGAAUCAUCAGAUUAGGUGCAUGCACCCUCUUCUCCUCAAGAUCAAUUUUCCGAGCUACCAAGCUCCCCCUCAUCAUUUCAUCCUCAAAGAAGACUGCAUGUCUCGUUUCUACAAACUUUGUAUAUCUGUCUGGGCAGUAGAAACGAAAACCUUUUGGUCUGUCUGGAUAGCCAAUGAAGUGGCAACUUACUGUUUCGGGAUCUAACUUUGCAAUAUUUGGAUUAAACAUUUUGGCUUCAGCAGGGCACCCCCACACCCUGAAGUGUUGUAGGGAGGGAACCCUUCCUAUCCAUAGCUGCUACGGUGUUUUGGGCACCGACUUGCUUGGUAAUCUAUUGAGAAUGUGAAUGGCGGUUUUAAGCGCCUCCAUCCAUAAUCCUAAUGACAAGUUGGAAUAACUCAUCAUGCUGCGCACCAUAUCCAUAAGUGUACGGUUGCGCCUUUCAGCUACUCCAUUUUGCUGAGGCUCGCCCGACAUUGAAUACUGGGGUACUAUGCCAGUCUCCUGUAAGAACUUUGCAAAAGGUCCAGGGACUUGGCCAUAUGGAGUGUGCCGACCAUAGUACUCUCCCCCACGGUCGGACCUUACUAUCUUUAUUCUUUUAUCAUGCUGAUUUUCAACUUCAGCUUUGAAUAUUUUAGAUUUAUCCAACGCUUCAGAUCUUUAUUUGAUUGGAUAAAUAUAACCAUAGCGAGAGUAAUCAUCUGUGAAUGUUAUGAACGAGUCAUGUCCACCCACACUUUUCACUGGAAAUGGUCCACAAAUGUCAGUGUGGAUGAUUUCUAGUGUGCUUGUGCUAUGGAUUGCACCUUUUUUGAUUUGUUUUAUAUACUUUCUUUUAAUGCAAUCUACGCAUUGUUCUAAGUCUGAGAAUUCUAACGGAGGAAGAAUUUCACUUUUGACUAAUCUUUCUAUUCUCCCCUCGAAAUAUGGCCCAAGCGACAGUGCCAUAAUUUUGAUGAGUCGAAUGUUCUCUUUCUUUUCUUUUGUUCUUUAUUCGAUGCGGAAACAUGUUCAUUCACAUUGCAUACAGAAUGCACUUUUUCACGAAGUGAUUGUUGGGGAACGUAGUAAUUUCAAAAAAUUCCUACGCACACGCAAGAUCAUGGUGAUACACAGCAACGAGAGGGGAGAGUGUUGUCUAUGUACCCUCGUAGACCGGAAGCGGAAGCGUUAUAACAACGCGGUUGAUGUAGUCGUACGUCUUCACGGCCCGACCGAUCGAGCACCGAAACUACGGCACCUCCGAGUUUUUGCACACGUUCAGUUCGAUGACGAUCCCCGGACUCCGAUCCAGCAAAGUGUCGGGGAUGAGUUCCAUCAGCACGACGGCGUGGUGACGAUCUUGAUGUUCUACCGUCGCAGGGCUUCACCUAAGCACCGCUACAAUAUUAUCGAGGAUUAUGGUGGAGGGGGGCACCGCACACGGCUAAGAGAUCAAUGAUCAAUUGUUGUGUCUCUGGGAUGCCCCCCUGCCCCCGUAUAUAAAGGAGUGGAGGAGGGGGCCGACCAAGGAGGGUGGCGCGCCCAAGGGGGGGAGUCCAACUCCCACCGGGAGUAGGACUCCCCUUUUUCCUAUUAGGAGUAGGAGAAGGAAGGAAGAGGAAGGAGGGAGGAAGGAAAGGGGGGGGGUGGCCCCCUCCCAAUUCGGAUUGGGCUUGGGGGGGGGGCGCCCCCUCCCUUGCUCCUUUCCCCUCCUUUCCACUAAGGCCCAAUAAGGCCCAUAUACCUCCCGGGGGGUUCCGAUAACCUCCCAGUGAUCCGGUAUUGUCCCAAUCUUACCGGGAACCUUUCCGGUGUCCAAAUAUAGUCGUCCAAUAUAUUGAUCUUUAUGUCUCGACCAUUUCGAGACUCCUCGUCAAGUCCAUGAUCACAUCCGAGACUCCGAACAACCUUCGGUACAUCAAAAUAUAUAAACUCAUAAUGAAACUGUGAUCGUAACGUUAAGCGUGCGAACCCUACGGGUUCGAGAAUAAUGUAGACAUGACCGAGACACGUCUCCGGCCAAUAACCAAUAGCGGAACCUAGAUGCUCAUAUUGGCCCCUACAUAUUCUACGAAGAUCUUUAUCGGUCAGACCGCAUAACAACAUACGUUGUUCCCUUUGUCAUCGGUAUGUUACUUGCCCGAGAUUCGAUCGUCGGUAUCUCAAUACCUAGUUCAAUCUCGUUACUGGCAAGUCUCUUUACUCGUUCCGUAAUACAUCAUCUUGCAAGUAACUUAUUAGUUGCAUUGCUUGCAAGGCUUAAGUGAUGUGUAUUACCGAGAGGGCCCAGAGAUACCUCUCCGACAAUCAGAGCGACAAAUCCUAAUCUCGAAAUACGCCAACCCAACAUGUACCUGUGGAGACACCUGUAGAGCAUCUUUAUAAUCACCCAGUUACGUUGCGACGUUUGGUAGCACACAAAGUGUUCCUCCGGUAAGCGGGAGUUGCAUAAUCUCAUAGUCAUAGGAACAUGUAUAAGUCAUGAAGAAAGCAAUAGCAACAUACUAAACGAUCGGGUGCUAAGCUAAUGGAAUGGGUCAUGUCAAUCACAUCAUUCUCCUAAUAAUGUGAUCCCGUUAAUCAAAUGACAACUCAUGUCUAUGGUUGGGAAACAUAACCAUGUUCGAUUAACGAGCUAGUCAAGUAGAGGCAUACUAGUGACACUUUGUUUGUCUAUGUAUUCACACAAGUAUUACGUUUCCGGUUAAUACAAUUCUAGCAUGAAUAAUAAACACUUAUCAUGAUAUAAGGAAAUAAAUAAUAACUUUAUUAUUGCCUCUAGGGCAUAUUUCCUUUAGUGAUAACAAAUAAAGCUCAUCGUGUAGUAAAGCAUUACCCACAUAAGCAUUAUUAUACCAUAUGGCACACUUGCCAUGUUCAAAAUAACACUCAUAAUUUUCUUUGUCCAAAAAUGAAAUGCUAAAUAAGUUUCUAUUACAUGAAGGAACAUAAACAACAUCUCUAAUUAGAAGCUUGAAUCCAUCAGCUAACUCCAAGGAGAUGUCGCCGACAGCUUCAACUUCCGCUUGAAUUCCAAUGGCUACUUCAAUGCCUCUUUCUCUUCUUAGCGUAGUCCGGGUCGAAUGGAAUCCCUGUAAACAAUUUGCAACAUGAACAGUUGCCCCUGAGUCAAUCCACCAAGUAGAUUUCGAAAAAUGUGUGUACAAGGAUUCAUUAACUAAGGAAACAAUGUUGUUACCUUGCUUUGCCAUUAAGGACUUCAGCCAAACAGGGCAGUCUUUCUUGUAAUGCCCGGUCUGCUUACAGUGGAGACAAGUGUCUUUGUCCACUGGGAAAGGCUGUUGUUGACGCUGAUGCUGAUAGGGAGCUUUUCCUUCUGGCUUUGAAGGAGAACUUUUGCUGUUUUGAUUGUAGUUCCUUUUAUUGUGAUCCUUCACAUAGUUGAGUGUACCAUCAUGUGAGGCUUUUAGUCUGUUCUCUUCUUGGACACACAUCGCUAUUGUCUUUUCAAUGUCUCAUGUUCCAGGUGACAUAUUGUAGUUCACAACAAAAGUUUCAAACUCCUUUGGCAGCGAAGCCAUGACUAGGUGGACCAAGAGCUUUGGUUUGAUCUCCAGAUCCUCAUCUAUGGGCUUUAGCUUUGCUGCCAUAUUGCUCAUCCUGAGGAUGUGUGCUCUCUUAUUCCACCACCUGUGUAGUGUUCUGUCACCAGUUGUUUUAACACCUGGGUGGCAUAUAUCUUUGAAGAGCCAGUGAACUGACUCUUUAUAUUUGUAAGCAACUCCCCUGCGGAAGUGCACUCUGCAAUGGAGCCCACAAUGGUGCUCUCAAUUGUAUUCUUUAUAAAGGCCAUGCACUUUUUGUUUGCAUUAACCCACUUUUGGUUUUCUAUGAUGUAGGACAUCUCCAAAGGGGCAUAAUCCCCCCUCUUUUUAGUCCACACAGCAUCGUCAUCAGUGGUCUCUCUUACUCGCUCUAUAGGUCUGACCGGCUGUGGUUCAUCCAGAACCCAGUCCAGAUCAGCACAAACAAAUGCCAGUUCAUCUUGCUUUCCUCCACUUCGUGUGAUUGUCACCUCUGAGUGUCGGAACAUCUUUUAGGCAACUCAUCAAGUGAAAGCCUCCUGAAAUCACAAUUUAAGUGACAUCAAUAUAACAAUUAUAUGCAUUAAGCUAACUUUGGUCAAACUAAACAUAUAAUUGUCUAUGCAAUUAAAUCUAUAUUACUAUUGAGCAAAAAUUAGAAAUAAAUGCACCUUUAAAUUUUCAAUAAUAAAACAUGAUCAUGUUAUUAACAACGUUGGUCAUAAAAAUAACAUAAUCAUAUUCAUUUUAAUAAUCACUUUAACAUGCUCUUAAAAACUUAUUUCUAUCGAAACUUUUGUUAAAGAGCACUAUUAAUUAUUUACGCAGCGGAAAAACAUGAAUAAAAAUUCAUGAACUUUUUACUAUUAUACAGAAACUUUUCUUUGACCGAAUAAGAAAUCAUGAACUUUUUUUAAUUUUAUUUAUAAAAUUCAUGAACAUUUCUUUUCUGAAAAUUUUCUGUUUGCAUUUUCAGAAACUUUUAUACCUUUUUCUUUUCUAUUUUCUAAACUGAAUUUUCGUUGGAAAAACUUGCAUAGAAAAACUAUUUUCAAUCUGCCCACAACACUGGACAAACAAACUAUUAAAAUGCGAAAAAAUGGGCAGCUCUAGCCGGCCUCGACCUGUCGUGGAAGGCCCGCAGCGGCCCAUGGCCUGCGCCUCUGCAUGCUCGCCUGAGCCGGCCUGGUCCGCAGGCUCUGCCGGCCCAGCAGCCCAGCUGGCCUUCUCUCUUUCUGGCCCAGCGGCAUGCAGCGGUUUAGGUUUUUGAUCCGGGCCAUCGAUCUGAUCCGACGGUGGAACGCCAUUCUCGCUCGAACAAAAACGGGACAGAGUCCCCAGACCUGAAACCUAGCGCCCCCAUUCUGUUCUCUCUUCGAUCUCUCUCUUACCCUCAGACGGCGUACACAAGGCAGUGCCCCGGCCGCCCAGUCCGGCCGCCGCCGGCGGCGACGGAAGCCACCGCGCCGCGCGCGCGUCCUCUUCCUUCCCCUUUCUCUUCCCCUUUUCCCCGCAUUUCCUUUGACGGAGAAAGAGAGAGAGACGCGUGCAGCGCCGUCCUCGCUCUGGCCGUCCAGCCACCGCGCGAGAGCGCCGGCCGCCGGCGACAACAUCCACCACCACGCCGCGCGAGCCCGGCCACCUUCUCUUCCUUUAUUUUUCAACUCUCCAUCCACCAUCUCCCCUGAGAGAAGAGAGAGGCAGGUGCCACCCGAGGACGACCUAGAUGGACGGAGCGGCUGCGCCCCUGCCGACCCCUUCGCCGGUCGCGCGUUCCCCUUUGCGGUGAGCGCGCUGCCAUCGAAUGGAUCGGUGGUGGUGCUCUUUGCCCCUUUCGGGGUAGGUUCUUCGUCCCUGUCGCCUCAGCUUGCCGAUGCGCGACGGGAUCGAGAGGAACAGGCGCGGCCUUGUGGCGGCGCACUUUGCCGGCGAAGGCCUGAGGCCCUUCUCCGGUGAAAACUUUGUUCUUUUGUUUGCUUUUCUCUGCCCUUCUAGGGUUCUUUGGGGAGGGAUGAUACUUUUGCUUUGAAUUCUUUCUACCGAAAAUGUCUAACCCGAUCUGGCUGAUACAAUUGAUAGAGUGCUUUGGAUCGAGUCGGUUAGAUCUUCCGGUGAACCUACCUUCUGCUGGUGCAGAUGAACUCGAUCCAGCACCGGCCAUGGUGAAGUAGGGGCCGGUGAUGGCGGAGAGAUGGCGGCGGUGGUGUGCUUCCCGUGAACACCACGCUAACCCUAGAUCGGUAGGGAUUGUAGGUGAGGAUUGUGGCAGCGAUUAACCUCAUAAGUCGUGCCCCGGCCCCCACCUCUGUUUAUAUAGCGCGGGUCAUAGGGGCCCACCAACCAUGGUUUGGUUGGGCGCCCCCGAUCAGGGCGCGAGUCAGGGGCCCGUUCGACCCGUUGGGUUCGAACGGGAGAGAGAUCUAAGAAUUGCCUCUAGUUCUAUUUUGUCUCCUAGAAUCGGCACUAGAAUCUGCAGUUCUAGAUUUAAUUGCAACCAAGCAGCCUCGUUACCAAAUUUCAAUUCUUGUUCUUUGAUUUUGAGCGUCAUUCUUAGCAGCCAAACACGGUGACUAUAAUAUAUCAGGUUAUGGAGUGAAGGAUGCCAAGGACAACCUCACAAGCUAGCCACCAGUUCAUGUUCAACUUGAUCCUGAUAUUUUUUGGAAUGCGGCAAUGCCAUGUGUAUACAUUUGCUUGCUGUUUGAGCUGUACACGUGAUGAUAAAAGAUGAAUUGGUGGGGAGGGCCAGCUAUCACGAUGGUGAAAGCAGCUAUGCAACUGUUACCUACCGGGGGUUCAAGUAAACCUUCUAAAAAUAAAGACCAGCAGAGCAGCUCGUCUGUUUUUUCAAAACUUUCAUGGUGGCUUUAUUGAUCAGUAAAGAUACCAACAUUGUCGAAUAUCUAUUUCUAAGUCCAGACUCAUCUGCACCCGGUUAAGAAAAAAUUCUCAAAAAAUUCAGACAAAUUCAAAAAAAAUCAAUUUUUUUGUAUGGUAGAUAAUUUGGUGCGUGAGAUACACUCCAAAUUUCACAUCAUAUGGACAUCCAAGUAACUCUCACCAAAAAAGACAAAUUUAGCCAGAACAGUACACGAACAGUAAACUUUUUUACAAACCCCAAAUUUGUCUUUUUUGCUGAGAGCUAUCUAUUAGGCCCGCACAUAUUUAUGGAGCAGCACCACAUACCUAGCUAGUUACAUUUAGAUGCCCCCGAUCUGAACAUAUACAGAGGAGCUACACUAACGAAUAUAUAGGAGAAUAUAUGCUUAUGCCUACAAAAUGAAGCUUGUGGAGUGUGUUCUACAUGUUACUCUACGUAUUCCAUGGUCACUUUAUUCUCUCGUGCAUGUCUCUCCUUUUUUAUCCGAUCCGAUCAUUGUCUCUAGGGAGCAAGCAAUAUCGCACCCUUCUCAGUUUGGCAUGUUCUCUCGAAGCCAAAAAUGAUCGUGCCGCAUGAGAAGUUAAUAUAGUUUAGAAGUGAAAAUAAAGGCGACACAAUAUGGGGAUGCUGCUGCUGCUGCUGAAUCAUUUAAACAUUGUUCAAACAGUAGUGAUCAGUUUUUUUAGAUUGUCCAGUAGUGAUUAGUUGGCUCCAUAAAAACAGUUUAAAUUUUUAUAAAACAAAACUCGUGAUAUACAAAGUGAUUUGGUGAGACAGGGUUGGGCCGAAAGAGAGAAACGGAAGCGGUGUGGGUAACUAGUUAAGUGACCAUUUCUCUGUAGAAGGCCUGUGGGCUCAAGAUGCCCCGGUCCAAUUCGUGUAGUUUGCGUUGGUGGUCCGAUUGAUCCGAGUGCGAGACAAAACUCUAUUUGAUUGCAGUGAUCAUUCGCUGCAAGUUAUUUUGAAAUAAUCCCUUAAAAAGUUAUUUUGAAAUAAAAUGAAAUAUUCUCCACUUUUAUUAAAUAAAGGUGGAGGCUUAGACAAAUGUCCGCAUGAUGCGGAGAACUAAAGACUAAUAUCGUGGUAUUACAUUAUUCAAGUGAUUGGCGUGAUGAGUCCGAAAUUGCAUCACUUUUUACCUUUAGUUUUGUGUUAUAGUCAUAGUAUUUCCGGCAUUUUACUGCAUCCGCACACCCUUUUGUCCUAUUUCACCAGGAUCUUGACCGAGGAGGGAAUCUAGAGCAUUAAAGAGAAAAAGAAUGUUUAGGUGCUAAACAUUGAUAGCAUUCAACAUCCUCCUUGUAUGUUUAUGCUAAUAAUAUUUCGAUUUGAGAGAAGUGGAACACUCAACAUUUUCCUUUAGGGAAGUAAAAGUUAUUACUAUUGGUGCGAUAAUGGGUUUGCGGACGUACUGUGGUGCCAAAAGCUAUCUUCUUCGUUCCCUGACCACUUGAUAUGGGAUCACCUAAGAUCGCCUUUGUUACGUCCACGGGAAACCCGUAGUCAUUUCCCUGUAACCAGUUGUGGGGAGGAACGAUGGUGGCGUAUGUGAUACAUGGUUGCGGCAUGUAUGCAUGUAUCAGGACUUAGCUAUGCCCACUUACAAAGUGGCUUAGUUAUCCAAAUCAAGAACUAUGCAUUCACAUAUGUUACAUUAGAUACAUACUAGUGGGUCGGCGGGUCGUCGAUGUAGACUGGAAGACAUCAGCAGCCACGAUCUACGUAGCAAAUUGCCGUUUUGGAGAAGAAAACAUUGGUGAGGGCCGACAUAACGCCCCAGAUCCGGUCAGACGGAAUCUCACAUGCUCCUUGACGAGGCUGAGGCCGGCCAACCUUCCUCGGUUCAAACUAUAUUUGUAGGAUCAAGAUGCACAACCAUGUUGUCCGCUACAUAGGACAUGGCCACUGAGACAAACCCACACACAAAAACGCCACCCGAAGAGAGAGAUCAAGGGGCACACCAUCCAGCAUACGAUUCCUGGCGAUAUGAAGAAGCACCACAGAAUGAGAGUGGGGCACAGAUCUUAUUCCACACCGACAGUGACAUCAUCGUGUCACCACCGCCAAUCGGAGACAAAAUAUAAUUUAAAUUCUAACCCUACCACUAUUGGACCGAAGCUUUGGGGUUCAGCUCCCUCGCAUCGCCGGAGUGAUAGAUAGAGGGGGAGAUGGCAUGUGGUCUCUCCAAGAAAGUGGUAGAUCACCUACCACCCCUAGUCGCCUAAGUCAUGGAAGUAGGGAAGGAAGACCAUGUCUACUAUAGAUACUUGCACAUUUCCUGCUAGGAACACCAAAAGUUACAGCUUGUGAGCUGAGUGCCGCAUUCCAGUUGUAUUAGAGCUUUUGGCUAGUGACGUACAUCUCAGCUUGUUUUGAUUUCAAAGCUUAUUUUGUGAACUUGUAAACUUUUGGAUCCCUUUUAUAUCUUGGUUCUUUGAUAAAGGGCAUUUUUGUUCAAUCCUUAUAUUGAACUUGUACAACAGCAACACGUGAAUGGUCAACCUAUGCCUAAUAAGAUGCACACAACCACCACGUCUAGAAAUAAAACUGUUUUAGGGGAGAGAAAAAAGCAAGCAUAUGGUGAAGGUCAUGUGCAAAUAUUACUCCGUCAUCCAUAUGAGAGAAAAUCUCCCUGGCCAUAUAUUCUAGCUGGAUAGAGCCGUCUUAAAAAGGUCUAUGUAUGUUCUCCGUCCUCUUCGGGACAAACCAUAUACAGAGCCCGUGUGUACAUGCAUGAAUAACCUGCAUAGGAGGUGGAACACAUUUUGUUGUUGUUAAAAAUCACAUAAUUCCCAAAAAUCUACAAAGCCGAAGAUAAGGUUGUCUCCUCCCGAAGGAUAUGUGAAUAAAACUUCCUAUCGAUGCCCGCAGCCAACUACCAAACAUGUUGGAGCACACUAGGGAGAGGGGGGGGGGGGUAUAUGGACCACACUAGAUGAGCCAGUGUACAUUAAUAGAAGUGUUUCAUGGACUCUUCAUGGUGAAAAAAUACACAACUCCUGCUACCCUGCCUGUUACAAUGUGCUAGGUUGUCUCUAGUCAGGACCACUCUUUGGUGGAGAAACCAGAAGCAUAUUUUGAUCCUAUGUGGUAUUUUGAGCUUCCACAAUUUUUUAUUAUCCACGGAGACAUCACUUGACGGAAAAUUUGUCAUUACAGUGCAAAUUUCAUUUAAACAUGUCUGGUUCAUUCUACAACUAGGAUGGCACCAAAGGAAUAAGCAACUCAUUCCAUGAUGUGGACCAAGGCUCAAUAUCAGUACCAGUUUUACCCAAGACAUGUGCGAUUUUUACAAAUUUAUGCUUAACAAUCUGAUAUUGUCCUGCAUGUUUAACUUUAAGUGGGCUAUCCCUCAGCUAAGGCAGCCUCUCAGAAUCUAACCUGAGAGCCAUCCUUGACUAAUAAAUUACAUAAUUGGAAAUUUAAUUCCUUCGCCGUCAUCAGACUACACAAAGAUCAGAGUCACCAAGUUUCCAAUGGAGUUGAGAGAUGACAUUGUUACCCACACACUUGUUACAAAUGAUUUUCUGCCACACCCUGUAUCCAGUAAGAAGUUUUUAUAGUAAUUUACUAAGAAUCACGAUGUUUUGAUCUCAUGAUCUGAAACCCAAACUAACCCGACUUUUGGGGUCGGAAAAUCACAUUCCACUUGGCCAGUUGAUAUUUUGUAGUCUUAAUAUCACUCGCCAGGAAAACCCGAAUAUAGUUUAGUGUUUGUAGUACACCCGUCGAUAACUGAAAGAAGUAGAAGAUGUAUAAAUCAAUGUUGUUGAGGAUGGCAUUAAUUAAAGCCAACUGCCGCCAUAUGAAAAAAGGUAGCCUUCCAACUAGCAAGUCAUUAAUUUUGACGAGGACCUCGUCAAUUUCUAUUAUUUAAAUAUAUAAAAACUGUAUUUCCAAACAAUUUUAAUAUAUCAUAUAAGAAUUUUUUUGGAAUCCUUCAUAAUGUUGUUAGUUUACUAGUGACACAAGAGAGGUUUGUUACUUUGAUUGCAGGAGAAGAACAAUUUCAAACUCGAGUUUUCCAAGGAUUUAUUAUCUUUGUCUUGAACAAAUAAAUGAGCCUUUAAUAGACAUGUACUAAAAUCCUCUACGCUCAGGGCCCAACAAAUACACUAGGUAUUCGAAAACAACGUUGCUGAUCUUCACCAAAAACUGCGCACAAUCACCUAAAUAAUUCAAGAUAUCUUCUAGGUGUAAUUGAAGCUACCAAAAUGUUGCCACUUCUGCGGAGGAAUAAUUCUUUUGGGGCUAGUUCAUGAAAACAUAUAUGCAAUUAAAUUCCUACCAUAUCUACAUAUUAGUUCAUUUUUCAUUUCUUUUCUUACUCUAUUUUGAAUUGCCUUUUGUUGCUUUAUACUUGUCUAAACCCCUCCCCUCCCAAAUUAGUAUAUUUGUUUUUGCUCACACAUGAAGAAACACCCCUCCACCAAAAAAUUCACUUGCUUAUAUAACUUAGAUAUAUUUUACAUUUCUUGUUUGCACUUAGAUAUUAUUUACUCUCUUUGCACAAUUGCACCAAAAAUCACAAGAUUCCUUCUUUGUUUUGUUACUUGCUGCAUAAAUUUGAUUCCACUUCCAUUCAUUGUUGCCUAAGUCAAAACUAGGGAGGCAAGAAGUAUUUCAAAACCACCCCUUCAAGGAUUCCAUGACCUUAGUCAUUCUAGAGAAAAUCAUCAUUUACUCAAAUCUUUGCACCUAGAGUCCCAAUAAGUAACAGAAAAUCCAUUCACCACAAACAACAAAUCAAAUAGUUGUCACCAAAAGCUUUGUUGGGCACCACUAUCAUGGAUCCAUCAUCAAGAUUUUUUAGGCGCUACUGCAAGGGAGGCAAGCAAUAUAGUUAGUUAUUUUUCUUAGUUUUAGCACUAAAUUUUCUUUUAGUUUAUUGUAUUCAAUUUUAGUUAUCUACUUAAUUUUUUGUUUUUAAUUUGCUUUUGCUUAUGCAACAUUGAAAUAACAAAAAACUACUGUUGAGGAAAUCGUUAUCUGGUAACUGCUCGGUUCGCUGGCGAGUAGGGGAUUAAUUAAUAGGCUAAUUGGCAAGUUAAUCAACCAUUAAUCAAUUAUCGGCCGAUUUAUUAGUUUAUCGGCUACUAGCUGACCCUACGAGUAGGGACUAAUUGACGAGUUAACUGGUUAAUCGGGCAAAUUAUUGACAGGGCAAAAAACAAAUAGUUUUUCUUUUACAUUAUUAUAUAUAUUUAUUACCUUGCACCAUAUUUAAGAAUACAAAAACAUCAGUAAUCAUAUUAAUUACUUUCUAGUACAUUGUCUAAGCUUUAACAAUGGGUGGUAUCUUAACCAAGGUUUUGUCAUCGUCACUAUUCUUGCAUUUAUGGAAUAGUUUCACUAUAUGGCAAAAUCUCGUUCCGACAGGAUUGCAUGUUAGCACAUCAUAUAUUCAUGUAUGCUUAGCGUAUUAUCUCUCCCAAUUCGAUAUGAUUUUAGAAUAGAUUUUAUUCUAUUGUAUUGUUGGCAACGACCUUAUCUUUUGUAUUAUGUACUAUACUUUGGAAUACAACAUUCACAUGUGUGAAAAAUCUUCUCAAACACAUUAGUUUACACUCGUGUACGCUACGCUAACAAAGUAAGAGUAUGUGUUUCUCCAUUUUCAAACUGGUAGAAAAACGUCAAACGUGCAACUUAGACCAACAAUUUAACUAUGAUUAGUUACUUGUAAGAUGCAAAGCGAUACUAAGGAAAAAAUCAACACUUAUGCAUAUCUUUCCAUUUGGAGGCCCAAGAAGUAAUGGAAAAGCCAUUCAACAGAAAAAUAAAUCACACAAUUGUCACCAAGAUCAUUGUUUGGUUUCACUACUAUCAAUCCAUGAUCAAGAAUUUUCUAGCACUACUGCAAGGGAGGAAAGCACUAGAGUCAGUGUUUUUCUUGGUUCUUGCAUUAAAUUUGCUUAAAGAUUAUUUUAGUUGAUUUUUUCUUUUUUCUUCAUUAUCUUUACUUUGUGAUUUCUUUUUCAACAUUUGAAAAUAACGAAAAAUAGUUAUGGGUUUUUUGUUUACUAACUUGCAUAAAAAAAGUUGCCAUUAAUCAUAUUUGUUGGUCGCUAAUAUAUUGUUUAGAUUUAAGCAAUGGUUGACAUAAGUGUUUUUCAUCACCACCAUUCUUAGAUUUCUAGAACAAUUUCACUAUAUGGCUAGCUCCAUUAUGACAGCAGUGCAUGUUAGUAUAGCAUAUAUUCCUGCGUGCAUGCUUAGUGCAUUAUGUCUGUCAAUUCAAUAUGAUUUCUAGAAGAGAUCAAUUCAGUUCUAUUGUAUAGUUGGCAAACUUAUCUUUUCAUUAUGUACUACAUAUUCUUUGGAAUAAAACAUAACCGUGUGUGGAAAAAAUCUUCUCAAACACUUCAUUUUGCACCAAUGCACACAACACUAACAAAGUAACAAUACAUGUUUCUCCCUUCGCCCCACAAUCUAAAGGGUUGAUUUGUUUUGUAAGUUUAACUUAGACCAACAACUAAACUAAUAAUUAGUUAGUUAUAAGGUACAUAAGCUAUAAAAAAUCAUCACUUACACAAAUCUUUGUAGUUGGAGGCCAAGGAAGCAAAUAAAAGCUAAUCACCACAAAGAAUCACACAGUCUUCACCAAGACCUUUGUUUGGUGCCACUGCUAUGAAUCCAUCAUCAGGAUUGUUCUGGCGUUGUUGCCAGGGAGGGGAGCUAGAGUCAAAAUAUUUUUUAGUUCCUGCAUUAAUUUUUCUUUUGUUUCUUGUAUUCAAUUUCAGGUUUAACAAUGAGUGAUAUAUAUGUUUACAAAGGGUUAAGCAUUAUCAUUACCUUGGACUUUCAAAACAAUUUCUCUGCAUGGAAAGCUCCCGCUGUGAUGGGAACAUGUGUUGGCAUAGCAUAUAUUCCUGCAUGGCUAGCGUAUUAUCUCCGCCAAUUUGAUACGUUUUCUAGAAUAGAGCGAUGCGAUUCUCUUGUAUAGUUGACAACCUUAUAUUGUGUAUUAUGUUCUGUAUAAUCUUUGGAAGACAACGUCCAUAUGUGUGGAAAAUCUUCACAAACACUUCAGUUUGCACCAAUGGACACGCAGUAACAAAAUAAGAGUAUUUGUUUAUGCCUUAGUUCACAAUCUGAAGGGUGGACAAACAUUAAACGUUCAACUUAGAACAAUACUUGAACUAACUAUUAAUUAGUAAUAAGAUACAAAUGUGGUACCAAGGGAAAAAAUCACCGCUUAUGGAAAAUCUUUCCACUUGGAGGCCCGGGAAGUAACAGAAAAGCCAUUCACCACAAAGAAAAAAUCACACAAUCUUCACCAAGACCUUUUUCUGGCGCCACUGCUACGAAUCCAACAUCAGGAUUUUUGUGGCGUUGUUGUUAGGGAGGUGAACGCUAGAGUUAGUAUUUUCUCUUAGUUCUUGUAUUUAUCUUUCUUAAGCUUCUUGUAUUCAAUUUCAGUCUUUAAUUUUUUGCCCUUGCUUAUGCAACAUUUGGAAGCAACAAAAGAUUUUUUUUGUUGGUUUUACAUUCUUAUGUUUAUUACCUAGGAAUACGAAAUAGUGGUAAUUUUAUUUCUUGCUUGCUAGGAGUACAUUUUUUAUGCUUUAAGAAUGGAUGAUAUCCUCACCCAUGGUUUGGCAUAACCUCUUUUCUUGGAUUUCGAGAACAAUUUCGCCAUAUGGCCAGCUAUUAGUGUGACGGGAACACAUGUUAGCAUAGCAUAUAUUCCUGGAUGCUUAGCGUAUUAUCUCCGCCAAUUCAAUAUGUUUUCUAGAGUAUAUCGAUUCAGUUACAUUGUACAGUUCAUAACGUUACGUUUCGUAUUAUGUACUAUAUAUUCUUCGAAAUACAAUGUCCAUAUGUGUGGAAAAUCUUGUCAAAACACUUCGAUUUGCACCAAUGUACACAAUACUAGUGAAGUAAGAGUGUAUGUUUCUCCAUUCGCCCCAUAAUCUGAAGGGUGGACAAACGUUAAAGCUCAACUUGAGCGAACAAUUGAACUGACAAAUAGUUAUUUAUAAGAAACAUAAGUCAUACUUUUUAGAAGUGUUUAUAAAUGUAACUACAUUGUAUUAUUUUUAUGUCAUAACACUCAAAAUUAUCAUCAUCAUCAUCAUCAUCAUCAUCAUCAUCAUCAUCAUCAUCGUCGUCAUCGUCAUCAUCAUCAUCAUCGCCAUCAUCGUCGUCGUCAUCAUCAUCAUCAUCAUCGUCAUCAUCAUCAUCAUCGUCAUCGUCAUCGUCAUCGUCAUCAUCAUCAUAAUCAUUAUCAUCUUCAUCAUCAUCAUCAUUAUUAUUAUUGUUAUUAUUGUUAUUCUAGAACAGAAGUUCCCUAGGCCUCUACAUCAGAUGAUGCACACAACUAUAUUUAUUAAAGAAACGAAGCAUUCAUUCAAAACUGUAUUAAAAGAAAACAAAAGUGCCGACACAACCAGCCAAUAACAAAUUACUAAUUAGUCUGCUUCAUCAGUUUUAUCUUUCAUCCACUACUUAGAUUGUGAAACAGAGGAAGUAAGAGCAUAUACAGCCGGACCUAAUAAAUCCAGCCCCCUAAACGUUUGUAAACAUGUCCACAUAUAGUGACCGACCACCCCUCAAAUGUCCAUGUACCCAGCCGUGUAUCUUAUUUGCAACUUUCAAAUCCAUACACUCUUAUGCAACGUAAAAUAAACAUACAUACUUCAUGUAGAUCACACACAUAGCAUCAUUAUACAUGCCAUCGGAUUACCAAAAAUUGGCAUGUUCCAAAUACUAAGCUAUGGACAAAUUUCACCCACAGCUGCCCUUGCCCUUGCCUUUGUCGUCUUUAUCACGAAAGUAGCAGUUGAAGCACAAUAUGGAUCGAGCGAGCCAGAUCUACGGAUUGUCAGAGUUGUCCGAUCCGCAUCCUCCUUCUCCCAGUCCUCCUGUUUUGGGGAUAGUCCAGCGAGGGCAUGGACCUCUCGAGUUUGCUCCUUUCCGAGGGCACGUGCCAUAUGGGUUUGCCGCUUCGCGAGGAUGCGAGCUCAGUGGGCAUCCUCGAUCUCUGAGACAACGUGUGACAAGUCCUCCGCUAUUUGCCAUGCCUCUCCCUCGGUCAAGCCCCUCGGUGCAUCCAAGGGGAGGCAUCUAGUGGCAUUGACCUCAGACUUAGAGCCCAACGUUGCAGGGACGAGGCUCCACUACAGGGGUUGUGUCGUCACACUGGUCAGGCGCCUUGAGCUACUGGCGCAGGCGGACGCAAUGAACUCCCGGCGGAUUGACUCAGUCCACGGUGCACGGGCAGAUUCCUCCAGGGAGCGGCGGAGACCUAGGUGGACAGCCAGCUCCUCCUCGUCCCUGCAUGGGACGAGGUCCCAUUCGAUGGAUUGAAAGCUGUAGAGUCUGAUCAACUGUCCACCAUGCCGGAGGAGGCCGGAGAUCGCCAAAGAGGAGCUAGGAGAGGGCAGAGCUGCGCAAACUGGAUGUGGAGUGGAGCGGCAAGUGGUUAGGGUUUCGUCCGGACGUGGAUAUUUAUGGGAUGGGGGUGGGCCGGAUCCGACGUGGUGGACAUGCUCAGGCGCGUGCGGGCCUCCCCAUAUCUGCCCCCAAAUAUGGGUUGACUAUAAGGGGUGCCGGUCAAUCCCGGUGUAUAGGGCUGAUACGAGGGGUGUAACUAGGUCGCGAUUUCUUAACCAAUCACUAACCGGGCCGUCCACCCGGACAUAUAGGGACAAUAUAAGGGGUCUAGUUGUAGAGGCUCUAAUGUUCAUAGAUUAGGCAAGCGAACCAGGGUAUCAGGUGCCAAUGCAAACGACCACUUUCCUUUUGCGUUUGAUCGGAGACUCUUGGUAGCAGAUAGAGUCAUAGAGAAGGAGCCAAGGAGGAAGACAUACGGGGUGACUGUAAAGUGAAAGGCCAACCUUGUUCGGCAUCUCCGCAGCUCUAGGCUGUCGCCAGAUGGCUAGAUAUGUGAAAAACGAAGGACCAGAUGGAUGGCUAGACAUGGAUGGAGUGAGGGACAAGUUUCAACAUUUUAUCGUCUAGACCAGAAGAUGAAUUUUCACUUCUUAUCAGCAUCUCAUAUUAGUGGAGACUGGAAUAUUAUACGUACAUACUGGAAUUGCUGCAUGGCGAAUGAUCUAGUAACAUUCUGACUCAACACUCUUCCUUCCCACGUUCACACCUGAGCCUUCCUAGGUCUCCUCACCCAGAACCAAGCCCUGCAUGGUAGCCCAAAAUGCAAAGGUUCCGUGUGAAAGGUACAGCUGAUAGCAGGUGCAAUUCGUUGCUGGACAUUGCGCAAGAUGUUCUGUUUGCUGAGGCAUGGACAGGAGGAAUGGACUGCAGCUGGCAGAAUCUAUGGGCUGUAACAGAAUAAUCAUCAGCUCGGACAAUCUAGAAGUGAUUAAUCUCAUGAAGGAUGACGCCCCGCUGCACGGACAGCAGCAUCGAUCUUCAUUGCUGCUACUAGAUCCCUCGGUAGGGAUUUGUGAAGGUGGUUGUAUAUGACUAUGAGCGUGCUUAUCGUGAUGCCAACUACAGUAUAUUGCUAAUGAUUUGGCCGAUUUUGGCGAAAUACCAAGACCCAAUAACUUGGUUAGAUGAUCCUCUUCCCUCAGUUGUACCUCUUUUGGUGAAUGAUGUAACGCGAUUAAUUAGAUAAUGAAUAAAAGAGGUUGUUAAGGUUUCCAUGUCAAGAAUGAACAAGCUAUGCACACGUAAUGUCUACUUAAAAUAGCGGCUUAAAACAGCAGCUUAAAAAUCAGUUUAAACAAACACAGUCAUCUCCAUGCCAUCCCCUGUCGCUCAGCAUUGGCUCCGCGUGCUCUGCGCCGGAGCGUAUUCGCCACCCAUCUCCCACCCCUCCGUCCGCUUCUCCUCACAAACAACGGUGGGUGCUCAUGCCCUAGCCAGCCUAGAUCCCAUGUUGAUGGACGCCAGAAUCGGAAGCAUGUGCUGCACACCGCAAGAGGCAGCGGCGAGGGAGAGGGCGUCGGCGGAGGAGGUAACUUCUCCCGCAGGUCGCGUGUGUCCACACCCGCGCUGGUAGAUCCGGAGGAGAAACUCCUGCGCAAGGUCCUCCGCCGGUCGGUACUAUGGCGGAGAUGGGUGCGAGGCGCCUCUGCCGCAAGAACGAGAAGGCGCUCCGGCUCGGCAUCAAGGAGUCCAAGCCCCUCCCUAUAGAGAGGGAGGUUAGCGACACGAGAGGCGUGAUUCAGGACCAUGGUUCAGCUGAACCUAUGGUCUAUGCCGUAUGAUUUAACAUCCUACUACAUGUGAAUCUGUGACAUGCAUGUCAACUUCAUUUUUUAAUCAACCAUGCAUGGAUCUUUAUGAAUAGAUAUGCAUGUCAACUGUAUUUUUUAAUCAACCAUGCAUGGAUCCUCAUGAUUAGUGUCUAGAAACCAGUGGUGUCGAGCGUAGGUUCGGCUGAACCAUGGUUCCGUAAAAGAUUUUCGUUAGCGACACGAAAGCGAUCCGGCUUGCGAAGGAGAAGAGUCACAGCCGCCCGUCGACUCGCGGGCUUCUUCUCGUCCUCCUCCAACGACAGCGCAUGACGAGCACGGACGAUGAUGACGCCCCUCCAGCAACGGGCGCCUACGUUGAGGACAACUAUUACAGCUCCAGUGACCGCAAGGGCAAGGGCCCGGCGCAGAAAUGGUGAAGUCCGGCUACCUCCCUCCAUCUUAGCUAUUUCCCUAGUAACUAUCAUCAUGUGAUUAGAUCUUAGGCUUAGGUUAGAGGUCUGGGUAUGUGGCCCAGCUUGCACCCCUUCAUCAUUUGGAUAGGAGUAGCGGUAGAUGUUGUCAAGAUGGCGGAUUCAGGCAUAUUGUUGUUCUACUUUGUAAUGUCCUCGAGAAUAAUCAAUAAAAUGGCCGCAUGAUUCUCCCAGAUGCAGAGGCCGGGGGGUCAUCCUCCUUUUCCAAAUAAAACUAUCAUCAUGUGAUGAACUUUUGGGUCAGAAUGUACAAACUUAUGUCAAAUAUGUAUGGUUUCACUCGGAAAAAAAGUAUGGUUUGUGCUAUGCUUGGAUGUCAGAAUGUUGCUAUUUUGUGCUGUCCGUAUGUUCCAAUGUUGAUCUACGUACUUUGCAUCACGUUGCAUGGCUACUGUACAUUGUGUGUGUGUGUGUGGUUGNNNNNNNNNNNNNNNNNNNNNNNNNNNNNNNNNNNNNNNNNNNNNNNNNNNNNNNNNNNNNNNNNNNNNNNNNNNNNNNNNNNNNNNNNNNNNNNNNNNNNNNNNNNNNNNNNNNNNNNNNNNNNNNNNNNNNNNNNNNNNNNNNNNNNNNNNNNNNNNNNNNNNNNNNNNNNNNNNNNNNNNNNNNNNNNNNNNNNNNNNNNNNNNNNNNNNNNNNNNNNNNNNNNNNNNNNNNNNNNNNNNNNNNNNNNNNNNNNNNNNNNNNNNNNNNNNNNNNNNNNNNNNNNNNNNNNNNNNNNNNNNNNNNNNNNNNNNNNNNNNNNNNNNNNNNNNNNNNNNNNNNNNNNNNNNNNNNNNNNNNNNNNNNNNNNNNNNNNNNNNNNNNNNNNNNNNNNNNNNNNNNNNNNNNNNNNNNNNNNNNNNNNNNNNNNNNNNNNNNNNNNNNNNNNNNNNNNNNNNNNNNNNNNNNNNNNNNNNNNNNNNNNNNNNNNNNNNNNNNNNNNNNNNNNNNNNNNNNNNNNNNNNNNNNNNNNNNNNNNNNNNNNNNNNNNNNNNNNNNNNNNNNNNNNNNNNNNNNNNNNNNNNNNNNNNNNNNNNNNNNNNNNNNNNNNNNNNNNNNNNNNNNNNNNNNNNNNNNNNNNNNNNNNNNNNNNNNNNNNNNNNNNNNNNNNNNNNNNNNNNNNNNNNNNNNNNNNNNNNNNNNNNNNNNNGGGGUGAUAUGAGGUGAUAUGAGGGACACGGACGUUUGAGGGGUUACAUUUGACGUGUCCGGUUGUAGGUGCUCUAAGCGAGCAGAUUGGGUUAACGCUCUAUUGCCAAUGAAUAGUGCAAGUCAUUGCAUGGUACAAUUACGUAUGUUCUCUCGCGUGAUUUGUUUCCACACAGUUUAAAUUUUCAGCAGAAUAAGAAGCUAGUUGCGUUCUUACAGCUAACGGCAAAUUCACUGUUAAAUCUUUGUAUACAAAGUUGGUUUUGAACAACAUGUAUGUCCCACAUAAAAUUUCGUGGAAAGUGAUGAUUCCAGUGAAAAUCAAAGUGUUCCUCUAAUGAGGAGGAGCUAUAUAAUUACCGAAGAAAAUUUUCUUAAGAGAGGAUGGGAAGUGGAUAAAACUUGUGUCUUCCGAGACAGGAUGGAAACAUUGACCAUCAGUUCUUUUCUUGCUUGGUUGCUAAGCUUGAGAUUCGCAAAAAUGACGACUUUCGCUCCUGUGUUUUUGAUAAUUUGGAGAUGCAGAAACGAUGUUUGUUCUAACAAUAGGCGAAUUGAUGAUCCCUCCAUAUUGUUCCAUUUGAUCCGCCACCGCUUAAAUGGUUGGUCCAUUUUCCAGAAAAAGCCAAAAAAGCAACAGAGAAUGAUAUGGGUGAGUGAGUGUGGUGGGGGGAUAGGGGGAAAUGAGUAGGAAGUGAAAUCUUCAGAACUUCGCAUGGAUGAGCAACAUGAGUUCUUCAAUUCACCAGUGAGUGAUUCACGACGAGGAGAUGAUCAAGGUUGCUGCAUGCCCUGUCUCUAUUUGAUUUUUUUCUACGAGGAGCCUAUGCCUGCUAAGGUUUGCUCUCUUUUGUACUAAAGUUAUAGCCACAUAUGCCCUGAAUCAACAUUUAACUGCCCAAGGUCCUGCUGGUGGAAUGUGUUGUAGUAGUUCAGGCUUUCUCUUAAGAAGCUUGGGAUUUUCUCUUUGUGCUUUGAGCUUUGUCUAUUAGUUAUGUUGAAUGUAUGGAGCCGGCGGGGUUAGGUGACUGAAUUUACAAUUUUGACCAGUCACUUUUUUUACAAGAGGGCGCACGUACAUACUAGUCAGUGGCGAAAAACCUGAAUUCUUGUCAUGAGGUGCAUGCGUUGAAUGUACGUCUUGCUCGCCUCAGAGCAUAAGCUAGCUAGCACCGUGUUGAUCAAAUCCUGGAAACUACAUACAUGUGUUCGAGUUCAUAGAUAUAUCUUCUAUGUGUAAGUGUUGAUCGAUCAAUCAUAUGAAACUUAAUUACGGUACUAGGUUUGCGUAUAUAUAUGAAGUUAGAGUUCAAUUAGGGCUAGUUUGAUUCAUGCCGUGGGCACCAUGCCUGGGAAAAAAAUAGAGCCUGGGAGCAGCUUGGGAAUCUGCUAGUUUUUGCCUGGCCAGGCACCUAUGCAAAGAUGGUGUUUGGUUUCAGUAUUCGGCUUGAAGAAAUUGUUAUACGGUUGAGAUGUGACAGUACUUGACAAAGUGCAACUAAUCUAUUCAUUUGGUACAGGCAGUAGAGCCAGGCACACAAAAAGGGUUGCCUGAGCCAGGCUGAUCAGCCUGCCUGGGAUAAGUACUUUGUUUUAUUUGAUAUUUUUAUUUGAGCCAUGCUAAUCAUGCUGCCCAGAAAGAAAACGCCCUCACGUCGUCCCCGCUAGGGCAACUCGGGCAGCGCACAAACCCUAGCCACCGGGGCGCACACUCCCGCAUCCCUCCCUCCCUCGCCACCGGGGGACGCUGGCGGGCUACGCCCAGGGGCCGACGGUGGUGACGGGGGACUCCCUCUAUCCCAUGUCUCAGGGGUGGUGCGGGGCCCAUACAUGAGUGGAGGCGCAAUUGAUCCAGCAAGCAGCGGCGAUGGCGGCGGUGGCCGGCCCUACCUCGGGAGACGGUGGCUGCAGGCGCGUUGGGAAGCCCGGUCACGGGCGGCGGCGCACCAUUUGGCUUCGGAUCGGCGCUAGUGUGGAGGGCCUGGUGGACUGCUCGGCGGCAUAUCCGUUCAGAUCUGUUCUGGCCGGUGCUGCCGGCGGUGGUGGUCUUCUCCUCCGUCGGAGGUGGUCGGCAUGAGGCUGGGUGGUCGGAUUUCGAGAUCCGCCAUCUAGUCCCGGCUGUGAGUCGGAGAGAAAUAGUUGCCGAUGAAAAUCGAUCCGACGGCGGGCGAUGGUGGUGUUCUGUGUCGUUACCUUGAUGAAGGUAUCGUCGUGGAACUAUUGUCAACACAUUCGUGCUGCUCCGGGGGAAACCCUUGGAUCUUGUCUUCUAGAACGGAUGAUGGCGGCACUAUGGUGUCAUUUCUCUCUUGGCAGCAUAAUUUGUGGAGUAGCGCUGGAACACAGAGGCGGAAGGUGGAGCGGCUUCGUCUGGAACGGAGCUUCAGUGGAGAUGUCAAGUCAUGCCUGGCCGACAGACACUACACUAUUUUAUGCAUGUUCGGCGGGUGCUACACACGAUAGAUCUUCUAGAGUCUCCGCCUCUGGAUGGAAGAGCGCAGGGCGGUGGCGUUGUUGGGCGCCGUGGUGGCAUCGACUAAUGACCGGACCGGCAAGGAUGAUGCAGAUCUCUCUCCAGAAUAUGGGACAUCGGUUCGAUGAUGAUGGCGGCUUCUAAAAUGUGUGCACGUGGUGUACGCUUUAGGUCUGCUGCACUGGUUAUUGGUUCCGAUACGUUAUAUGGAUGGAUUGGCGACAACAUCGGUUAUAGAUCUGUUGAGUGAAAGCACUCCACAUUAUCAAGUUUGUAGGUGUGAGUGGUGUCUUCGGGUGGCUUGAUGUAUGUUUUUGUCAGACCUUCAUGAAAUAAUUAAUAAAGAUGACCAUAUCCAUCGAUUGAUGCAGAGGCCGGGGUUUAACCUCCUUUAAAAAAAUCAUGCAACCCAGAAAGGCCAGACCAGGCUACCACGUUUUCUUUCAGGGCACCAUCCAAACAACUAUCAGGCAAGUUUGAGGGAUGUGCCAGGCCAGGCGUCACUAGAUGUGAAAGUGAACCAAACUGGCCCUUAAUCUUUGCAUGCGGAUGAUGAGCAAAGGCGCAGGCAUGCCUAUAUUAUUAUAUUAUGUAUAGUUUCUAGAAAAAAUAAAAUAAAACUAAAAACCAAAAUAAUGAAGUUUCUACGUAAGAAUGAACUAGUGGCAUUCGUAUUAUCCUUUAAGAAGAAAGAAAGAGGUACCUAAUUUACGCAGAAAUUGUUUUUCUAAUAAUAUACAUGACCAAGCAUAUAAUAGUGAAUCUUUUUGCAAAAUGAAACUUCCUAAGAAUGAUUGAAUUAGUGGCAUUGGUAUUACUCUAAAAUAAGAAAUAAAAAACUAAAACUAAAUCAAAAUAAUAAGGUUUUCCAAGGAAGAAUUCAUUAGUGACAUUGGUAUUAUCCUUUAAGGAUAAAAAGACAAAAUUUGCACACAAUUUACUCAGAAACUGUGUUUUCUAUAAUAUACAAGAAUAAGCAUAUAAUAGCGAUAUUUUGCAAAACAGAAUUUUUGUAUGAAGGAAUUAAUUAGUGGCAUUCACGUUACCUUGAAAGAAGAAAUAAAUGAAAUGAAAAUAAAACUAAAUCAAAAUAAUGAAUUUUCUAAGAAAGAAUAAAUUUGUGGCAUUUGUAUUACCCUUUAAGAAGAAGAAAAUGAAAACAAAUAAUGACAAAAUUUGCACACAAUUGACACAUAAACUAAUUAAAUUUCUUAUAAUAUGCAAGAAUAAGCAUACAAUAGUAGAAUUUUCACAGGAAAAAAGAAGUUUCCUAUGAAGGAAUGAAUUAGUGGAAUUAGUGUUACCCUUAAAAAGUAAAGAAAAAUGAAAUAGAAACUGAAUUAAAUCAAAAUAAUAAAAAAUUAACCAAGAGUGAAGUAGUGGCAUUAGUAUUGCCAUUUAAGAAGAAAUAAAUAAAAAAAGUGACAAAAUUUGCACACAAUUUAUACAUAAACUGGGUUUAAAAAUAAUAUGAAAAAUAAGCAUUUGAUAGUGACAUCUUCACAAAAAGUAAGUUCCCUAAGAAGUAAUCAAUUAAUGGCAUUAGUAUUACCCCUAUGAUAAAAGAAAUGAAAUAAAAACUAAAAUAAUUUAAAAUCACAAUUUUUUUGUAAGAAGAAUGAACUAGUGACAUUGGUAUUACCCUUUAAGAAAAAAUAGAAUAAAAACGUAAAAAACGUUGAUAUAUUUUGCACACAAUUUACACAGAAAUUGUGUUUUGAAAUAAUAUACAAAAAUAAGCAGAUAAUAGUGAAAUUUAAGCAAAAUAUAAAUUUCCUUUUUAGCAAUGAAUUAGUGGAAUUGGUAUUACCCUUAAGAAUGAGUGAAAAUUAAAAAAAUUAACAAAAAUAUUUAAGAAAAGGUGAAUUAGUGACAUUGAUAUUACCCUUCAAGAAAGAAUGAAAAUGAAAAAAAUGCACACUACUUUGCACUGAAAUUGCGCUUUUUUUGUAAUAUGCAAAGAAUAAUCAUAUAACAGUGCAAUUUUGAAACUUUAGUGUAAUUUACACAGAUACUGCAUACAACUUGCGUGUAUAUAUGCACACUCACCCAACAUCCCAAAAAUACCAAUAUAAGAAAAAAGAAAACCCGACUAAAAAGAAAUGAGAAAACAUAAGUAAAAACACAUACAAACAGGAAAAAAAAGGCAAUGGGUAAUGGGCUUCAAGCCCGGUAGAUUAAUGUACUGACUGAUGUGGUAUUUCUUUAGUGAUUUUUUCAGCGGAUAGCCCUGGCUUGUCGUAUCCGUCUGAAUUUCAUAUUUCCAGAUGAGAAAAGAGGUAUAAAUAUCUUCAUAUACCAAACGUUGGCUAAUUAGUACUGCAUCCUCAAAAUUGUAACCUUCCCAUGGCAUAUAAGCUACUAAUAAAUACGUUUUUUCCAAACAGGGUAAGUCAAAAAUUCGGUCCAAGAAGCCUUGAAAUAGCGCGAAUCUUGACAAAAGAAUCAACAAACGAGAAAACCGGCUAACCAAAUUUAUAAAUCAGGCACCUUACAUAUAGCUAGCUGGAGUUAAAAGUGUGGAUGUAUGUCCGCUUUGUAGUAGAACCUGGGCUUCCUUAAUAGAAAUCGGAGAGUAUAUAUAGAUAGAUAAAAAAAAAGUUGAACUAUGGUCAUACGGCAAUGCUUUGCAACUUUACAAGUCGUUAAUUUAUGAUCAGGUUUGGGCCUGGACAAAGAAGACGAUGACCUUCACCGGGGUUUUGGGGUUGCGAGCAUGCGCAACACAUGGCGAUGGCGACGUCAACGGCGGAGACGCGGGCAUCGAUGCGAGAGGAAGUGGGAGAGGAUAAAGAUGUGGUGGCCAUUCGGGGUUUAGGUUUGGGCUUGGGCUUAGGGUUUAUGCGGUACGUUUAUAGCCACGCUCUCUCUAUAUAUAGCAGUACCUCUGCCAUUGACGGGCAGAUUGGCAAGCAACAGCAGCAAUGGCAAUGGCCGCCUCCGAUCAGCAACUACAGCAGGCCCGCAGCACCCGGCACGGCUUUGAGGAUGAGUCCCGGUGGGUGGAGCUGAUCCGGGAAUCCCUCCGGGAGGUUUCCGGGGAGGAGGACGACGACGGCAUCCCCGUGUCCGUGUUCGACGUGCCCAAGCAGCUGCUGGUGCACAAGCCCGAGGCCUACGCGCCGCAGUUCAUCGCGCUGGGCCCCUACCACCACUGGCACCCUCACCUGUACGACAUGGAGCGCUACAAGAUCGAAGCCGCCCGCCGCGCGCUCCGUGCGGCCGGCCGCAGCCUGGACGACCUCGUGCGCGAGCUCCGGCACCUCGAGGGCAAGGUCCGCGCUCACUACCACCGCUACCUCGACUUCCGCGACGGGACGCUCUCGCUCAUGAUGCUCGUGGACGGCGCUUUCCUGCUAGAGUUCCUCACCAUCCACCACCACCACGCCGCCGCCGCCGAGCCCGAGAGGCUCGCCGUCUCUAACUGGACGUCGAGGAUGGCACACCUCAUCGACCUGGGCGGGACCGGGCGGAAGUCCGCUCACAGCCUCAUCCUCCGUGACAUGCUCAUGCUCGAGAACCAGAUUCCGCUCUUCCUCCUCCGCGAGAUCCUCCAGGCGCAGUGCCACUCCCAGUCCGUCGACGAGUCCACCGCGCGGCUCACCUGCAUGGUGACGGGCCUCAUGAAGGAGCUCUGUCCGUUCAAGAUGGAGGGCAACUUCCCGGAGAAGCAGAUCGAGAGGGACAUCGCCAAGCACGCGCACCUGCUCGAGCUGCUGUACCACCUGCUCGUGCCCAGGCCCAAGCCCUCUGCGUCUGAGAACUCCGCCCCGGCGUGGUCUGGCCCCGUCGAGGAUGAUAUCGAGGAGCAGCGACCGGACGGCGAUGGCGGCCAAGAACAAGAAGGCGAAGGCCCUCCCGCCGGCACCGGCAACGAGUACGUGAUGCAACUGCUCGCCGUCAUUUUGAGCAUGGCGUCGAGGCUCAAGGGCGGCCGCCUGGGCCACGUGAUCGAGUUUGCGGCCAAGGCGCCGUGGAAGAUGCUCGCCGGCAUACCCGGCAUCUCAGGCUUGUCCAUGCACGCGGACGCAGACAUGAGCCAGGAGAUCGCGAUCCCAUCGGUGACCGAACUGGCCAGCAGCGGCGUUCGGUUUAAGCCGACCAACGGCAACCUGUCCACCAUCACCUUCAACCGCAAGACGGCGACGCUGCACCUCCCGGCGGUGACCCUCGACUGCAACACGGAGGUGGUGCUCCGGAACCUGGUCGCCUACGAGUCAUCCGCCGCGUCGGGCCCGCUGGUGUUCACCCGAUACACGGAGCUGAUGAACGGCAUCAUCGACACCGACGACGACGUCACGCAUCUCCGCAAGCGCGGCGUGGUGAUCAACCGCAUGAAGAAGAGCGACGGCGAGGCCGCCAAGCUGUGGAACGGCAUGAGCCGCUCAGUGCAGCACUCCAAGGUGCCGGACCUGGACGCGGUCAUCGACGACGUGAACCGCUACUACGGCCGGCGGUGGAGCGUCAAGGCGAAGCGGUUCAUGCGCAAGUACGUGCUCAGCUCAUGGAAGAUGCUCACCUUCCUCGCCACCAUCAGCAUGCUGCUGCUCACCACCUUGCAGGCCUUCUGCUCCGUCUACACGUGCUCUCGGUGGUUCACUGACGUCGUAGUCACGGUCACGCCGACGCCGGCAGAGUAGAUCGGUACAGGCGUGCGUUCCUUGACCACGCUAUAGUGAUCAUGCUGUUGGAUUNNNNNNNNNNNNNNNNNNNNNNNNNNNNNNNNNNNNNNNNNNNNNNNNNNNNNNNNNNNNNNNNNNNNNNNNNNNNNNNNNNNNNNNNNNNNNNNNNNNNNNNNNNNNNNNNNNNNNNNNNNNNNNNNNNNNNNNNNNNNNNNNNNNNNNNNNNNNNNNNNNNNNNNNNNNNNNNNNNNNNNNNNNNNNNNNNNNNNNNNNNNNNNNNNNNNNNNNNNNNNNNNNNNNNNNNNNNNNNNNNNNNNNNNNNNNNNNNNNNNNNNNNNNNNNNNNNNNNNNNNNNNNNNNNNNNNNNNNNNNNNNNNNNNNNNNNNNNNNNNNNNNNNNNNNNNNNNNNNNNNNNNNNNNNNNNNNNNNNNNNNNNNNNNNNNNNNNNNNNNNNNNGGUAGGAGUAGGAAUAAGUUUAUGGUCUGGUCUCUGGUCGUCGAUGGCGAGACGAUGAUGUUGCCUUUGACGUGGACUAAAUCAUAUCAUCGCCUCCUCUCCUUGUGUCACCGAGAGGCGGCGUGUAGAGGGUGGUGUGUCCUCAGAUCUGGUUCUAUGGAUCUGGUUUUGCUUGUGCAUGUCUGUCUCGGUGGCGUUGUUCUAUGGAACGGAAUUUUCCAUGUUGAGUCGGUGAAUUGCACGUGUGGCUUUUGGUUAUUGUGGUUGUUCAUUUUCAAUGUUGAGUGAAAAUGGAAAAUAAAGUCUUCGGCAAGUCAUUAUAGGAAAAAUGUUGCAUGCCUAGUAUCGGGUUUGCCGAGUGUGUGUCAUCGAGCAUUUGACAAGCAAGUUGUUUGUCGAGUGUACUGGUGGCAAAGCUUUAAAACAAGAACAGGCCCGAGUAGGGUAGCUUUUAUUCGAAAAUCACGUAUCACCAAUCAAUCUAUUCGCUAGAGCCGCUUUUGAAAAGGAGGUUGGAACUUCCGGCAUUUGUAUCAAUGUGAUGCACACUUCUAUUUUUAUUAAAGUUGAUGUAAAGCAGU
rnacentral:lncRNA from 1 species